rnacentral:lncRNA from 1 species
CACACAUAUACAAGUGAUUUUCUUUAAUAUCUGGUGAUUUGAGUCCUACUGCUGUGGUAGUGAGGGGUCUGGAGCUCUUCAUGCUCUUCUCCCCUCUGCUGCGGCUGCCUCUCUCCUGUGCGGUCUCUCUGCAUGAUGCUGGGAGGAAGUGACAGGCUGUUACGGUUGCCUCCAGGCUAGCUGAAGGUUGGACCGCUUAGAUGUCCUGGUUCCCGAUCUUGGAGAGGGAGAGCGCCACUCAGAACAGCAUAACACACAGCAAUCCUGUAAAUGUAGAUAUCUCCCUAGCUAUAAGUAAAACUAGAAUAACGCCUUUUCCUACAACAUGAGUCGAGGCUGCGAGUUGAGGAUAAGAAGAACUGAUUUGAUGGAUACUCAUGCACGACUUUUUAUACACCCCUCUGGACCUGAUGGUACACAGGAUGACAAAAUGUCACAGCCAAUACAAACAAACUGCAUUUUACAAAACACCCCCUCCUACCCUGGAAUUAAUUGGUCUCAGUGGUUACAGUAACUCAAUUAUCUCCUGGUACAUGAAAUAAUCAAAUUUUUAUACAUACACGAAAACCGAAUAAAAAUGAAUAACUUUCACAUUAUAAUGUUUAAAUGUCACAUUCAACCCAUCCCCAGACAGCUUGGAUCUGAGCGCACAAAAUACACGAAAAGCUCAGAUCUCACUAAUGGUAUGCGAAUGCCAUGGGGAUGAAAAUUGUCUGUAGGGUUGUCCAACUAUUAGCAGCCCGUGUAUCCUCGGCCAUGGGAUCUAUCCACUGGCCGGUAGCUUUUGUGGAUACCAAGUGUCGAACGGCAUGUCUUUCAGGUUUUUGUGCAUGAACGGACGGGGCAAGAUGUAUCUCAGCGAGGUUCACACAAACUAUUGUUCGAAAAUAGUACCACGUGUUUGACGACCAGGACCCUCACGCCUGUUCGACAAUAAAAGAUGUGUUCGUGCAUACGAACGGCGACCACCCUGGCGAUGAUCAAUUAUGUUGCAGUUAACCACAAAAACCGCAGCUUCAAGGUGGUUACCUGGCGGCACACACCAGGGGCCAGGUGAUCGGCAGUUCAGGAGUUAGUUUGUCUUUUAGUUCGGUACCCCGUUCGACACUUUUCAUAUGAACGGUGACCACCCUGAUGACAGUUGUAACGGAUCCUGCUAUCCCUGUAGGAAUGAUCCUUGUAGCUUCUCCCUAAAUCCCAGCUGAAGUAGAGCAAAGUAGUGAUUAUAGCUGCCAAUCCCCUAAGCAUGAGUCUGGUUUAUUGACGGUCACAGCUCGGCCUUUUAUGCAGGUCUUCCAACAAGGUUCACUUGUGGAAGACUGUGACAAAAAAUACAGUAACCAAUCAUUUCACAUUACAAUAAUAAACAAACCCACACAAACAGUGCAAUCCCUCCUCUUUAUCCUUGAGAUAACUGGCUUAAGUGGUUGGAGUAAACUCAAUUAUCUCCAGGUAGAGAGAAACAUAUUCAUUUUACAAUAUAACAAAAAUGUAUUAAAAUCCAUAACUUGUAUUUCGCUGAACGGAAUCCCCAUGUUCAACAUACCCCCAGAUAGCUAAGAUCUGAGUGCUCAAAAUAGCUGAACAGCACUAAGAUCCCAUGAACACAGUUCAAACACUAUGGAGCUAGUGAUGUCGCGAACACAAAAUUUUCGGUUCGCGAACGGCGAACGCGAACUUCCGCAAAUGUUCGCGAACUGGCGAACCGCGCGAACCGCCAUAAACUUCAAUGGGCAGGCGAAUUUUAAAACACACAGGGACUCUUUCUGGCCACAAUAGUGAUGGAAAAGUUGUUUCAAGGGGACUAACACCUGGACUGUGGCAUGCCGGAGGGGGAUCCAUUGCAAAACUCCCAUGGAAAAUUACACAGUUGAUACAGAGUCUGGUUUUAAUCCAUAAAGGGCAGAAAUCACCUAACAUUCCUAAAUCACAAUGAAUAUGGAUUGACACCUGACAUAUGACACCUUGACAUAUGGAUUGACACCUGUCCUCAGAGUCCCUGAUGCACACGGACACAGAGCAGAAUAGGGACUGGUCCCCCUACAUAGGGUCACUUGGCAGAUAUGGAUUGACACCUGUCCUAAGGAUCCCUGAUACACACUGACACAGAGCAGAAUAGGGACUGUUCCUCCUACAUAGGGUCACUUGGCAGAUAUGGAUUGACACCUGUCCUCAGAGACCAGGAUACACACUGACACAGAGCAGAAUAGAGACUGUUCCUCCUACAUAGGGUCACUUGGCGGAUAUGGAUUGACACCUGUCCUCAGAGCCCCUGAUACACACUGACACAGAACAGAAUAGAGACUGUUCCUCCUACAUAGGGUCACUUGGCAGAUAUGGAUUGACACCUGUCCUCAGAGACCAUGAUACACACUGACACAGAGCAGCAUAGGGACUGUUCCCCCUACAUCGGGUCACUUGGCAGAUAUGGAUUGACACCUUGUUACAAACUGCUAUUUGUAACUGGCCCUUUAAAUGGCAAAUUGCCCUGCUUCCCUGGGUUGUGGAGAAGCCGAUUUGCCAGCCUCCUCCCACAUGACUAUGGCCCCUGGGAGAUUGUGAAAAUGUAUGCACUUUUAUUUGGUGUGUAUGGCCCUUUAAGACUGUCGGUGGGCAUAUUGGGGCUUAUGGACUCUUUAUGUGACUGGUGCUGGCCCUUUAAACACCUUUUUUGGUACAUCAGGAAGAUUGGGACACUGCCCCUUUAAGGCCGUGUCCCCAGACUUGUUGGGGACACUGCCCCUUUAAGACGGUGUCCCCUGUGUCCCCAGACCUGGUGCAAACCCUUUGUGCCUGCCUGUCUAUUUCCCACUUGGUUCAGUAAAUGGGACUUACUGAACCAAGUACCACACAGGCAGACCACCCAGAAGUGGAAGUGUGCAGGCAAUUUACCUCCCAGAAGCUGCGGUUAACCGCAGCUUAAUUGACAAUGCUGGGAGGUCUUUGUUCGUUUUCCAAACACGUGGCGGCGGCCAUCUUUGAUCAUUCAACGAGGUCAGCGGUAUGUGUAACCAAAUUCAUGGAACUAAAAUCGGCUACACAUUUCCGCGAACACCGCUGUGCUCUACCUUCUCCCCUACUGGUUUUACAGCUGCAGAGACUAAGUCCCAUUCGGCGAUGGGACUUAGUCGUUUUUUCAGCCUGAAAUACACCGACCGCACAGCCCAAAUCUAUGGAACUGUUUUGGGCAGGAAAAUGUGCUUGCGGUCGGUCAUAAAGGGACCUCCAGCUAACCUUUUAACCCCUGGAUGGAUUUGGCUGAUUUUUGGUUAUGUUUAUGUUUUAAGUGUGCUGAUUCCAAAUAUGUAAUUGUUAUGAAGAUGGGAUUUGUAGUUUUAAAGUUACAGUGUAUGGCUAAAAACUGUAUUUUUACUGCCUGUGUUUAAUUAUGUUAAUCUCUUCCCAAACGUCAUUUCGUUCAAGUGGAGAGAAUGUUAAAAAAAUAUAUUUUUGUUCUGAGUGUGAGAAAUGCUUUUCAGCCGCUUCUAAUCUUAAGCAUCAUUUGAGGAGCCAUACAGGAGAGAAACCUUAUUUGUGGUGUGUUUAGUAUUGUUCUGAUCAGUUUAAUACCUUCGGCGUCUCCUAUCAGUGGACGUGUAUAUGGCAGCCAUUUUAGGAACCGUACACCUGGGACCCGAGCAAGGUCACCUCGUUCAACAGGCGACAACAUUUGUCCCUGGAAAACUAUUCUGGACAUUCUGUACAAUUUGUAUGGAUAUGGCAGUGAUUUCUGUAACAGGGAGAUGGAAGAAGAUGCUUGGUCGGUCCUCUUAAUUCAAAUUUGGGGCACUGCGCGGUCAAGCUAAUGUGCCACCAGAUAGGAGUGGUGUGUUUAGUAUUUUUCUGAUCAGUUUAAUACCUUCCGCGUCUCCUAUCAGUGGGCGUGUAUAUGGCAGCCAUUUUAGAAACCGUACACCUGGGACCCGAGCAAGGUCACCUCGUUCAACAGGCUUGCAGCAUAUCCUCCAGGAAGAAGAGCCUGAACCCUUACCGGCUGCACGUGUCUUACCUGAACAUGGAAAGCUGCUGUGGUUCCUUGAUGAGCCAGCUGCCCGUGAGUUAACAUGUCCCGUGGAGAAGCACUCUGUCCUGUAAAGCCUCACCAAAAAAGGAGUGGUGUGUUUAGUAUUGUUCUGAUCAGUUUAAUACCUUCCGCGUCUCCUAUCAGUGGACGUGUAUAUGGCAGCCAUUUUAGGAACCGUACACCUGGGACCCGAGCAAGGUCACCUCGUUCAACAGGCGACAACAUUUGUCCCUUGAAAACUAUCCUGGACAUUCUGUACAAUUUGUAUGGAUAUGGCAGUGAUUUCUGUAACAGGGAGAUGGAAGAAGAUGCUUGGUCGGUCCUCUUAAUUCAAAUUUGGGGCACUGCGCGGUCAAGCUAAUGUGCCACCAGAUAGGAGUGGUGUGUUUAGUAUUGUUCUGAUCAGUUUAAUACCUUCCAAGGCUCCUCCUAUCAGUGGACGUGUACAUGGCAGUGAUUUCUGUAACAGGGAGAUGGAAGAAGAUGCUUGGUCGGUCCUCUUACUGCAAAUUUGGGCCAACUGGUCUCCUCCUCCUCCUCUCUGUCUCCCCAUCUGAACUUUCGCCCUGUUCUUCUUCUUGCCGAGCGGGCACCAACGUGACAUCCAUGGACGCAUCGUCAUCAUCAACCGCUUCACUUGUAUCUGACAACUCAGCAAAGGAAGCAGCAGCGGGUACAACAUCAUCAUCAUCAUCAUCAUCACACCGUAUGUCCAUGUGUGUAAUGCUGCCUGCCUGAGACAUAUCUCUGUUAUCUACAUCCUCUGGCAAUAAUGGUUUCGCAUCACUCAUUUCUUCCAACGGAUGUGUGAAUAACUCCUCUGACAUACCAAGUAAAGCGGCUGUGGUGCUAGUUUUGGUGGUGGCGGCAGGCGGGUGAGUGGUAUCUUGAGAGGUGCCUGAAGCUAAGCUGGAGGAGGAUGGUGCGUCAAGGUUCUCAGCGGAGGCUGUAGAAGAUUGGGUGUCCUGUAUGUUAGCCAGUCAACUAUGUCCUCAGAACUUUUCAAGUUCAGAGUACGUGGCCUCUGAAAACUGGGCAUUAUUCUAGGGCCAAAGGGAAUCACAGCACCACGACCAUGAUGGCCCCUGCGGGGUGGCCUGCCUCUGCCUGUCAUUUUUUUUGGGAUUAGUGGUACUAUGCGUGCAAGCUACUGUGAGACCAGAUAUGAGUGGCAAUGUGCACUGGCACAGUUGUGCAGAGCACAAGCUGUAGGCCUGACACAGCCGCUUGAAGGACACUGACUGGCUGCUAUUAGCUUACACUGGAAACCUUUUUUUCUUUGUAAAAGCACGCUACAGAGACACCAGAUAUGAGUGGCAAAGUACACAGGCAGAGGUCUGCAGAGCACACGCUGAAGGAGGCCUGACACCCGCUUUAAGGACACUGACUGCUAUUCAAUCUAUAACAGUGAAAAAAGAUUAUUUUUUUUUUAAAUACAAACUAUUGUGACACCAGAUCUAAUUAGUGGCACUGGUCAGCGUAUCCACUGUUAGCGUAACACACCCGCUUUAAGGACACUGACUGCUAUUCAAUCUAUAACAGUGAAAAAAGAUUAUUUUUUUUUUAAAUCCAAACUAUUGUGACACCAGAUCUAAUUAGUGGCACUUGUCAGCGUAUCCACUGUUAGCGUAACACACCCGCUUUAAGGACACUGGCUGCUAUUCAAUCUAUAACAGUAAAAAAAGUUUUUUGUUUUUAAAUCCAAGCUAUUGUGACACCAGAUCUAAUUAGUGGCACUUGUCAGCGUAUCCACUGUUAGCGUAACACACCCACUUUAAGGACCCUGACUGCUAUUCAAUCUAUAACAGUAAAAAAAGUUUUUUGUUUUUAAAUCCAAGCUAUUGUGACACCAGAUCUAAUUAGUGGCACUUGUCAGCGUAUCCACUGUUAGCGUAACACACCGCUUUAAGGACACUGACUGCUAUUCAAUCUAUAACAGUGAAAAAAGAUUAUUUUUUUUUUAAAUCCAAACUAUUGUGACACCAGAUCUAAUUAGUGGCACUGGUCAGCGUAUCCACUGUUAGCGUAACACACCCGCUUUAAGGACACUGACUGCUAUUCAAUCUAUAACAGUGAGAAAAGUUUUUUGUUUUUAAAUGCAAGCUAUUGUGACACCAGUGAGUGGUGGCACUGGGCACCGUAUCCACUGUGAGCUUAACACACCCGCUUUAAGGACACUGACUGCUAUUCAAUCUAUAACAGUGAAAAAAGUUUUUUGCUUUUAAAUGCAAGCUAUUGUGACACCAGAUAUGAGUGGUGGCACAGACUGGGCAAAUGGGCACAGUAUCCACUGUGAGCCUGACACAGAAGCUGGCAGCAGUGGCAGACAACUAACUGCAAUUACAUUACACAGAAAAAAAAAAAAAAAGCAUACCCUAACCCUAACCUAGCUAUGCAUUUCCCUAUCUAAUCAACAGCAGCUACACUUUCCCUCCUCUUACUAAGCAUGCAGCUUGAGAAUGAAUGUAAAAUGUAUGCCUUCCAGUAGGUGGGAGGGUCUGCUAGGGUGGGUGUGCUGCUAAUUGGCUGGAAUGUGUCUGCUGACUGUGAGGUACAGGGUUAAAGUUUACUCAAUGAUGAAUAGGGGGCGGAUCGAACCGUGCAUGCGUUCGCCGUCCGCGGCGGAUGCGAACACACUAUGUUCGCCGGGAACUGUUCACCGGCAAACCGUUCGGUGAAUCACUAUAUGGAGCUAAAGAGUUGGUUCACCGGCUAUUCAUGGAAAUGUGUCUGAAAUUAGCCCCAUGAAUUCAGCUACCUGAGGUCGGUCUUAUUUGUAUAAUAAAUGUCCCAAACGGCACGGUGUUCGUGCAACUGGAUAUGGAUGCAAUGGAUGUUGGUGAGCCCCAGCGAUAUUCGUCUGAAAUUAAGGCCGGCAAUAGUUCCACACUGUCGACGAUAAAAUACCGCUGGGCAUUCGACAAUUUAAAAUGGCCGCCGCCACGUAUUCAACAAACGAAUGGUGACCACCCAACCGUUCAUCAAAUAACUGUGGUUAACAGCAACGGCUGGGUGGUUAAUGAGCGGCACACGUCCAUGGUUGGUGGUGUGGCAGUUUUUUUAAUAAAUGCACGGAAGGGGCCAAAUACACAAAUAACAGAUGAACCCGAAAGACUACAGAGAUCUAGCAAAACAGGGGUUUUGUCACAACAGUCAAAUAGGCUGCGGUUAACAACAAAACCGCAGCUCCUGGGUGGUUGAUUGUAGGCACACUCUUCAGGUAGGGUGGUUAUCCAUUCGUCAGUUUGUUUGGUGUUUUGAAAGGUGAACUGGGUUAAUUGGCGCCAAAUGCCACAUACGAAUGGCCUGUAAUACUUGUUCGGGUAAAAGUAACCUAAAAUGAUAGCAAAAUUAACCAGGUUGUAGCAGACAGAGGUGACUUCUGUAACACAGGCUUUCUCUUCCCCCAGCCAGCUGACAUUACAGGGGCCCGGUCUCUGUAUUAGAGGACCGGGGCAACCGGCCGGGCCCUGGUUCAGCAGUAAUGUUUCCCCAGUGCUAUAAUCAUAGCACCGGGGAAACAUUCCACGGUACACCUGUGUGCACCGUUUGAGAAUCACUGACUUCUCCAAUACAAAUGAAAACAGCUUUCUCUGAGGAUAUUCCAGACAGUAUACUACACAUCAAAUAUUGCCAAACAGAAUACAGAGGAUACAGCUGAUAAUCUACAGAAAGGUAUAACAAUAUAACAGUGUAAUACAGUUAAAAUAGGUUUCUGUGCACUAAAUUCAAUUGCAUUUGCUAGAUGGAGACUUAAAAAUCACCAUAGGGUGCCUCCCCUUGGAUGAUUGGGGGGUUGGUCCAGGGUUCUCUCUCAGCUUUUGGAUGAUGACGACACAGUAUGGAAAGCCAGACUUGGGAUACAUCAGAAAAUAUAAACUGCUUUAUUAUGUGUAUAAAAAAAUAAAAUAAAAUACAAGAAAAAUGGUCCUGCACAUUUCGUCUCACAAGAGACUUCUUCAGGGUCACUAAUAAUAAAAACAAUCCUAAAGCAGGAAAAAAGCAGCAUAUACCGUUCCUCCCCAGAGUCCUUCAUUCUAUAUGGCCAUCUUUUCCAUCUCAUUGGAGGUCCUGUGGGUGUUUCCAAUGAAAUUCAGCUGUUUUGGCUUGUCCAUAAUCAAUUUUCCAGGGUAUUCUUUGUUCGUGUGACGUCAUUUCCGGUAGCCUCGCCUGUAUGAUGCGUGUGUUCCAAUCGGCGGCCAUCAUGCGUUCCACUCUUGAAUUGUAAGAGGUCGCCAGGGUUACAACAUACACAAGGUUCUAUCUUUAAUGGAGAGUAAAGAAGCCUACAAGGCUCAAAAGUGACAAGUAUCAGAAAUAAACAGAAUCAUGUAACUGAAUCAGUAAAGUCCCAUUAGAUUAAAUAAAUAGAGUUUAUACCUGGAAGUAUUUCUCUGGUAAUUGGAUAAUUUAAGUUGAUUUAUUAGGUGACGUAUUCUUUAAAAACAAGUUAUUUUUAUUCCGGGUGUUUGUCUGGAACAUAAUUAGAGUUGAGCGGACACCUGGAUGUUUGUGUUCACCGAGUUCAUCCGAACUUCGGCUUGAACUUCACCCCGAACCCGAACCCCAUUGAAGUCAAUGGGGACCCGAACUUUUGGGCACUAAAAGUUCUCUAAAAACGUCCUGGAAAGGGCUUGAGGGCUGCAAGAUAAAGUAAAAUGGGGGUAAGAGUAGGGCAAGUGCCCUGCAAACAAUUGUGGCUAGGGAAAUCACUUAAAAUAACACAACAUACAUAAAAAUUAAAAAUACAGCUGAGACAUAAAAUAGCACUAUAUGGAAUCUUUGAUUUUAGCUUUGGAAGAACAUAAAUCAAAAUCUAAAGCAUGGCUGUCAGGAGGAUCACCAGAAUUAUCCAUUGGAGAGAGGGUUGGAGUGCUGGGUAUUCAUUAUUCAAACUGAGCUCAACUCCUGAUGCAUGGAAAAAAGGCCUUCACAAGCCUCUGCUAUUGUGUACAUAGUUUAUACUAAGUGACCCAUAGGUUGAGGAGGCGGUGACCGUGGCCGUGUAGGUGGAAGUGGCGGUGGAGGAGGUGGAGGUAGCCAACACUGUUUUUUAUUUUUUAUUUUUUAAUUGGGGUAGCCCCCAAAAUAUUGGGACAUAUAACAAAAGAAAACAAAGAAUGAGUGCACUUGAGUAUUACAAUGGCUGUGUGAGGUCGGUAUAAAUGUCUAUUCUGCACAAGGUACAGACAAGUCUGGUGGUAUCCAUGCCUGGUUCAUUUUAAAAAACGUGAGCUUGUCCAUGUUGGCUGUGGACAGGUGGCUGUGCUUGUCUGUGAUAACGUCCCCUGCCGUGCUAAACACAAGUUCAGACAAUACACUGGCUGCAGGGCAGGCCAGCACCUCAAAGGCAUAAAGAGCAAGCUCAGGCCAUGUGCCCAAUUUGGAGACUCAGAAGUUGAAUGGGGCAGACCCAUCAGUCAGUACGUGUAGGCGUGUGCACACAUACUGUUCCACCAUGUUGCUGAAAUGCUGCCUCCUGCUAAGAUGUUCCAUAUCAGAUGGUGGUGCUGGUUGUUGUGGCUGACAAAGCUUUUCCACAUUUCGGCCAUGCUAACCCUGCCUUGUGAGGUGCUGGCGGUGCCCCAGCUGCAUUGGCAACCUCUUCCUCCUCCUUUGCUUUCGCCUUGUGCUUCCCCUGAGCCCCCGGUGUCAGUUGGGAAUGCCCUCAGCAGCGCGUCUACCAGCGUGCGCUUGUAGUUGCACAUCUUCUGAUCAUGCUCAAGUGAGGGAAUUAAGGACGGUACGUUAUCCUUGUAACGGGGAUCCGGCAGGGUGGCCACCCAGUAAUCAGCACAAGUUAGAAUGUGGGCAACUCGGCAGUCAUUGCGCAGGCACUUUGGUGAAUUUAGAUAACCUUGGGCCGAUUGCACAUUCCCAUGACGGCGACGACGUAUUCGGAUGUCUACCUAUCAACUUUCCAUGGUACUUUCUACGCCUACCAUGGUGACCACAGGUAACAGGGAAUCAGGGUUCGAUUCCGGAGAGGGAGCCUGAGAAACGGCUACCACAUCCAAGGAAGGCAGCAGGUGUGCAAAUUACCAACUCCCAAUGCAGGGAGGUAGUGACGACAAAUAACAAUACAGGACUCUUUAGAGGCCCUGUAAUUGGAAUAAGUCCACUUUAAAUCCUUUAACGAGGAUCUUUUGGAUGGCAAGUCUGGUACAGAGCGACUGACCCGUGCGUGCUGCAGCUGAAACUCCACUAUCGCCUGCUGCUGCUCGCACAGUCUCUCCAGCAUGUGCAAGGNNNNNNNNNNNNNNNNNNNNNNNNNNNNNNNNNNNNNNNNNNNNNNNNNNNNNNNNNNNNNNNNNNNNNNNNNNNNNNNNNNNNNNNNNNNNNNNNNNNNGAGUCACAGUGUGGAAUGGAUUAGCAGGGUCUGGUGCAGGGUAACUGCACGCCCCCUCGUGUUGUGCACCAGCAUUUGUGCGGCCACAUAAAAGGACCCUGAUGCAGCUUCAGCGGAUCCCAGGAACUAGGAGCUUGGAAAUAAGCAGACCUGAAUAGGGAGGCUCUGCAUCAGGAAUGUGAUUGAUGUAGAUUAAUUUAGAAAUAAACAAAAAUGUUUAAAAGUCUAUCUGUUCCUGUCCAAAUCUGAGAUGAAUAAAUUGCGUAUACGCAGAAGUAAGUUCACACUGACACAUGCAGUUCAGGUUAAAAACACUUCAGGAAAUUUAUUAGCAUCUAGUUAAAAAGCGGGCACGCAGGCCUUUUUAUAUGCAAAAUGACAUCAUCAUUGAAUAUCAGAUAAUAACAAAUAAACAUCAUUAAUUGGGUUAAAUGUUAAGUGGCUAUGUCAGUGUCCACCCAUUAAUAUUAUUAAUUGGCUCAGAGAUUUGAGUGACUAGUGAGGCACCCUCCCAUCAUGGGAUGUCGUCGCCAUUGCUCUUUAGCACGAGGCUUACUCGGUGGAAAGGGGGGCUUGGGCAUCAUUUUACGUAGUUAGUGAUGUCAGUCUCGUGGCCUGGUCCAAGGUUCUUUUAUGAAUAAAACAUUUCAUUUAGUCGCUGUUCUCCUGGCCUUGGAUUAUACUAUGUUGCAAGUCAACGGAGAUCCGCUAACUCCGGGGCUAGUUAUGUCCUUAGAGAGAGAAAAUACAAUCUCUUAUUCAUUAUAUUGAAUACUGUCAUGUAAGGUGAACAAAAUGGAGAGUUCUGUCACAGUGUGAGAUUAAAAAUGGAGUUAGUACAAUUAUUCAAUACAAAUUCAGUAAAGAUUUUAAUAAUUCUACAUCAGUCCCCCCUAUGAAAUGUUAGAUUCUAAAAGAUAAUCUUUAUUUGUUAGUAUCAGAAGACGUGUUAGCCCAAAGGCACAGAAACCCCGUGACCCGCUAGCUAGGUGUUAUUGCAAAGUGCAAAGCUGUCCCUUCGUCUGUCCCUAAUUGGCUAACUCAUCUGUCCGCUGGGCACUCGAACACUUCACUCCAUGGGUAUCCCGAGGUGGCUAACCCACCACAUCUCCGCACGGUAGACUUCCCAGACAGACAGAUGCUGUCCCUAAGCUGGUCCCUUCCUAGAACUCUUGCACUUUAUCAAUAAAUGGGAUAGAUUGUAGCGGUAUACAGGGCGAGUUGACUUUUUGGAAAUCUUGGUCAUCAACUGUGAGGUGUGCGAAAGUGGGUGCCGCUUGGUCUACAGUCUUCAAGAGGAGCUUUCUCAGACAAGGGAGGACACAACAAACGAGAAGAGCAAAGAUAAAAAGGAAAAUUAGUAUUGCUAUACCAAUAUGCAUCAAAGCUUUUUGCCAUCCUGUCAUCCAACCAAACCAUCUCUCCCAGGGAUCUUUUAUCCCAGAGUUCCUCUUUAGCUCCUCAGAGAGCUCUUUCAAUUUUUCUAUAGCUAAGGUUACUUUACCAUUGGGGCCUGUGUUUUCUGGGAUGUAAGUACAACAUGUCAUGGUGUCAGGCAGAAUUUUACAUACCCCUCCUUUUUCGGCUAGAAUCAUAUCUAAAGCCAUUCUAUUCUGGAAUGACAUUUGGGACGUAGCCUGCAGCUGUUCGGCCAAACCCUGAAGGGCAUCCCUGGUGUAAUUAACAAACCGUUGUUGGUUGUAGUAGAUGUAAUUUAUCCAAUUUAAAUUCUUGUUUGCAGUGACUAUGGUAAAAAGUGAUUCAAAUCCUGCAGCAACUUCAUCCCUGGCUUUAAACUCAUUGGGCACCCCCCUAGGUACCCCAAUGGCAUCAAUGUAAAUAUGAGGGUCAAAACUGCCUUUUACUGGGGCUUCACGCUUUACCUUGGUUGGUGAGUGUUUGGACUCAUGAGUAUCGGGGUGUGUGUCAGAGAUAAUAUGUAUGGGCAUGAUUGCUUUAGCCAGAGUACACUCCCCCCACCAUUCUUUAUCCAUUCUUGAUCUCAGCUGUAGAUCCCCACACAACCAGUAAAUAUCCCCCAAUGAUCUAGUGUGGAAUUGUAGGAGGUUCAUAGAGACAGUUCUGUAGGUGGCACAAUAACCUUUAGAGAAGUUACCCACAAAUUUACCAAUUCUUUCAUAAUUAGCAUAACAGGUAUAAUUACCUUUAUAGACGGUAACACCAUCUGGGGGUUUGCAAUCUUUGACUAGAAGAGGAUACUCUACUGUCCAUGCUUUACAUAUGGACCUAUUGAAAUUGUAGUGAUAGGCAAAAAGACUCAGAACACAUUCUUCUAUAUCUACUGGCAAAGUUAAAGGCACAGUGCCCAGGUGCGUCCGGGCACCACCACACACAUAGCAUGCGGUUCUGUUAUGUUUGCUGGCAUUAUAUUUCAUCCAUUCUAACCAUAGAUUAACAUCAUUGAAACCUGUUUCAGCGGCCAUGGUAUCUUCAAAUGUUGGAUUUGCAAUGGCCAUCAUGUCUUUAAAAGAUUGGAUGGGUGGUUUCAACGGAUUUGAGACCAUGUGGGUGGUCCCUUUCCACUCAGGAGAGUGGCACAUAUCUUUAAGGUGGAAAUGUCCUAAUUUAUUAUAGGAACCCUUCUUCCAGUACAUUCCCAUUACAUACUGGUCUGCAUCCGUUGGGCUGGGAUGCUCAAUGUUUAAGAUUAAUUUCAUAGGUAUGCCUCCUCCGGGCUUUCUUAGAGUCAUUCUCUGGAGGAGGGACCUACCGUGAUCAUCAAUUUUAGAUAAGGCACUUUUUGGUUUGUAACCCCAGGCAGGCCCGGCAUUCCAUCCCGCCGCCCCCCAAUGGUUACAGUUGUUCCCCCAUUGUUUGUCAACUACACAAACAUAGGGGUCUUUUGAAUGAGGGAUAUCUCUAUAGAUAUUCUGAAUCUGUGACGUGGGGAAUGGGCAUUCUACGAUGUCACAGUAGUCAAAAGUAUAAGUAGCCACACGGGUACAUGAUGAAUUAUACCAGAAGGUGUACCCACUAGCAUCUUUAGUGAUGGCUACUUGUUGAGCUUUAAUUAAGCUGAUUAAGAAGAUACUGUACCAGAGGUACAUGGUGGUGCGGUACUAGCUUCCUCUGGGGCAAGUACUUUCUUACAAUGGGAAGCGUGGAUCCAAUGUGGCCGGCCGGCCAAUUUGACGGAGGUUGCGGUGAUUAGGAGAACUUGGAAUGGCCCGUCAAAUCUUGGUUCCAAGGUAUGUUUCCGCACAAACUUCUUGACCAGAACCCAAUCUCCAGGAAGCAGGCUAUGGGUACCUGUAUCCAAAUCGGGAUCUGGAAUUGAAGAGAAAACUUGGGCAUGUAUUUUGUUCAAGGCACUUGCAAGUUCAAUUACAUAGUCUACUAAAACAUCAGAUUGAAGCUGUAACUGUUGUGGAUAAUAACAACCUAGUCUGGGUGCGGUCCCAAAUAGAAUCUCGUAUGGGGAUAGUGAAUGCUUCCCUCCAGGUGUGUGCCUAACACUAAAUAGAGCUAUUGGUAGACUUUCUGGCCAGGGCAUCUUUGUUUCUUGUGACAUUUUAAGCAUUCUGGCUUUUAAGGUGCCGUUCAUGCGUUCCACUUUCCCACUACUUUGUGGGUGGUAAGGGGUGUGAAAGGCUAGGGUCACCCCCAGAGCAGUCCAAAUCUCUUUAGUCACUGUUGCUGUAAAGGCUGGGCCCUGGUCACUUUCAAUAACUUCUGGAAGUCCAAACCUACAUACAACAUCUGUAAGUAGACGUUUUGCUGUUGUUUUGGCAGUGAUAUUGGCUACUGGGUAGGCUUCUGGCCAGCCUGAGAACAUGUCCACUAUCACUAGUGCAUAUUCAUGGGGCCCGCUCUUGGGUAUUUGUAUAUGAUCAAUUUGAAUUCUCUGGAAUGGGUACAUGGGCUUAGCCAGAUGUUUUGUAGGCACUUUGAUUGGCUUCCCUGGAUUGCAUUUUGCGCAAAUGGCACAAACCCUGCAGAAGUUAGUGAUCAAUGUUGUUAUUCCAGGGGCUUCAUAAUACUUCUGGAUGAGGGCGGCCAUUAAAUCUUUUGACAGAUGUGCUGGUCCGUGUGCCCAUUGGACAACUGCUGGGUAUAAGUUUUUUGGAAGGCAGAAUUUGAAAUUGUUAUAGUAUAUUCCGUCCUUUAAGACAGCCCCUUUUUUCUUCCAUUUCUGGAUCUCUUCAGGGGUAAUUGCGGCUUGCUGUUCCCGCAAAAUCCUUAGAUCAGUAGGAAGGGUCUGUAAAGUAAAAACAGGAACUUCUUCUUGACCGGACACUUCUUUGUCCACUUCCUGCAAAUUUCUUGCUGCUUGCUUAGCAGCCUGAUCAGCCAGAUGGUUGCCCCUUGCUUCAUCUGUAUCCAACUUUCCAUGUGCCUUGACUUUCAAUACGGCCACUUCUUCAGGGAGUAGGAGGGCAUCCAUUAGCUCUUUGAUUGCAGAGCUGUGUUUGACUGGUGUGCCGGCAGUAGUAAGAAAUCCUCUUGUCUUCCAUAUGAGGCCGAAGUCGUGUGCCACACCUAGGGCAUAUCUUGAAUCUGUGUAGAUGUUGGCACGUUUUCCUUCGGAGAUUUUGCAUGCUGAAGACAGGGCUUGUAAUUCAGCUUCUUGCGCAGACAUUGCUGGUGGUAAAGAUGAUGACUUGAUAACUUCAUCUGUUGUGGUUACGGCAUAUCCUGUGUGGUAUUUUCCUUCUUCAUCAGCAUAUCUUGAACCAUCCACAAACAGAGUGAAAUCAGGAUUUGUCAAUGGAUUCUCAUGCACCGUUGGUAGAUGUAUGGUCUCCAUUUUCAUCUGUUCAAAACAGUCGUGAGGAGUCUCUGGGUCAUAGUUGUUUACUAUGACCAGGCUUUUAAAGUCAUUUUCCAGGAAAUGGCGUGGCCAUGCUUCAAGUAGGUCAGUUGUGGGGUAUUUGGCAAUGCCAUUUUCCUGUAACUUCGAGUCAUCCAUGGUGGCCCAUAAUUUCGCCAUGGGCCCGAGAUCAUUCCAUGAUUUUGUUUUCAACUUGGUAACAGGGACAUGUGGAAUAGCAGUAUCCCAAUGACGGUAUAAAUACUUGAGUUCUGAAGGUAGUUCGAUCAAGACCAUGCUAUUGCCUUCAGAAUCACAAUAGAAGUCGUGAGCAGUGAGUUUCACCUCCACCCAGUGAUAGAGUUCAUCUUCAUAGCAAGGUUCAGGAGAGAUGUUCGGCUUGUACCAUGUGGUACAGAAGGCAUAUCCUGGACCCUCACAGAGAGGUUUUUGUUGUUAAUAAAAGGUUAAAUCAGGAUGCAUCCUCUUGAUGGUUCCAGUGAGGAGAAAAAUAUAGGUUUCGUCCAUGAUAAACCCAUAGUGGAUACCCCCCUCAGGGAGUGGAAGAAGAGUGGAUGGAUUAAGAACUUGACACCUUUGUAUGGUGAUGUUAUCAGGUAGCAGGAGGUGACACUGUAAACGCAGGUGUCUGGCAGGAGACACAUGUUUGAGCUGGACUUGGUUGAUAAUGGCAGAAAUGUCAUGAGGUGCCAAUACAACCAGAGGAUGACCAAGGACCAGGUCUGCAGUUUUCUCAAUAAGUUCUCUUGCAGCAAAAACAGCCCUAAGGCAUGAAGGGGCCCCUCUGGCCACGAUAUCCAGCUGACAGGAGAAAAACCCAAUAGGCCUUUGGCGGCCUCUUAACUCAUUUGUUUGGGUAAGCACUCCUGUGGCGUGGCCUUGUCUUUCAGAGACAAAUAAUUUGAAGGGUUUGGUGUAGUCUGGUAGGCCCAGAGCAGGAGCAGAUGCAAUGGUACGUUUCAGAAUUUUAAAAUUGUCCAGUGCUUCAUUUGUCAGGCAGAAUGGGUCUGACUUGAGUGCAUCAUAGAGUGGCUGCAUAAGCAGAGAGGCUUCUGGGAUCCAUGCUCUGCAAUAGGAAAUGAGGCCUAAAAAAACAUGGAGAGAUUUUGUGGUUCUUGGAGGUGGAAUCUCCAGUAUGGCUCUGACUCGGUCCCGAGUGAGAUGUCUGGUGCCUUGAGAUAGGCAAUGUCCAAGAAAGAUUACUGUUGGCUGACAGAAUUGCAGCUUGAGACGUGAAGCUUUGCAUCCUUGUUCUGCUAGGUAGCAAAGGAGACUAAUAGAACAGUCUUCUGUUGUAGGUAUGUCAUCCCCACAAAGUAGGAGAUCAUCCACAUACUGAAGUAGGACAACUUCUGGGUGGUCUGUUUGCCAUGGGUCCAGGAUGGAGCACAUGGCUUUAGCAAAUUGACUUGGAGAAUUUUGUGCCCCUUGGGGCAUGACAGUCCAUGUAUACUGUUGCAUUUCAUGAGUGAAAGCAAACAGGUAUUGGCAAGUCGGAUCCAGUGGAACACUGAAGAAGGCAUUAGCCAGGUCAAUGACUGUGAAGUAUUUUGCAGAUGGUGGAACUCCAGAUAGCAGAGUGUGGGGGUUUGGUACAAUAGGGGUGUCCAGGACAGUUGCUUCAUUGACAGCUCUGAGGUCCUGGACCAUUCUGUACUUCUCUGGUUCCCCUUUUGGUGUUUUCUUCUUCACAGGAAAUAAUGGGGUGUUGCAUUUUGAUUCACACUUCACAAGAGCACCUUUCUCCAAAAGUGCUUUGAUUUGAAUUGAAAUAGCUGCAGCCUGAGCUGGCUUUAGAGGAUAUUGUGGUUUUCUUGGUAAUUUUGCUCCUGGAAUGAGCUUUACCACCACAGGUGGAACUCUCAGAUGACCUAUGUCUUCUGGGCCUUUGGACCAUAAUUUUGCAGGUACCUUUGUUUUGAUGAUAUCCGAAAAAUUGGACCUCUGCUCUUUUGCUUCCCCACGGGGUUCAUCUAAAUGCAGCACUAGAGGUAGGGAGCACAAAACUGAGGUAUCUGAUUCAGAUAGGGGAGUAGACAAUUCUACUUGACCUUCUGGGGUGAAGGUGAUAGAUGCCUGCAGGCGUGAGAGGACAUCAGCACCUAACAGGUUAAUUGGGCAUGUGGAGGAUACUACAAAUCGAGCAAGCAAGUUUGGGUAAUUGCCAACUCGCAAUGGGGUUGUUAAAGGACUGUGCCUUGGUUGGCCAUCCACUCCAACACAAGAGACAUCUAUUUCUGAUAGGAAUGAGGCAUCUGGCAGGUCUUGUUCUCUCAGAACACUUCGGGCUGCACCUGUGUCAACUAAAAAUGUGGUUUCUCGUCCUUCAAUGGGUAAAGUCACAGUGGCAAGUGGCCCCCCUUGUUCCCUGUAGACACUGCCAUGGCAGGGGCAUUAAGCAUCAGCGGGUUUGCUCUCCUCUGUAUGGGCUGUGUUACUGACUCAAACCCCUUUCUAUGUCAUUAGCCAUAGCUUUUUGCAGUCUGAACAUGUCUAUCAUUAUAAAUAAUGGUUAAUAGUAAGUGAAGUAAAGUUCCUAUAUGUCUUUGGAUAAAACGUUAACUAUUGCGGUACUAUCAUUUAUAUCAAUUAGACUACAACAAUUAUACCACCCUGUAACUAAAAUAAACAACCAGUAGUGGCUGGGUUAAUAAAACAUGUCACAAACCCUUCUAAUGCUAAACCAUCAUUUAACGUAAAGGAUGUUACUGUAAACAUACGAUCUGUAACUAGCAAGAUUCGAUUAAGUAAAGAUACAAUGUUUAAAAUAACUUGCAUUAUUUAGCUAUUUCCCUUGUUGUAAGAUGAAGCUGGAUAAUCAGCUGUUAUGCUCUUAUAUUCAUGUCCAACAGAUCUCAUUUGUAGGUCACACCACAUUUGCAAAUUACAUUUUAGCAACCUUCUUUUUUUUUAUAUCACGGACACAUUGUUGAUACAGGGAAACAAAUGGCAUGAUUGUUUUAGUAAUUAUAAUGUUUCUGUUCAUAAUAUGUAGAGUGUAAGGAAAACAACAUGUCUCUAAAUAGGACGAGCAUAAUAGGGGUAGGCCUCAUGAUGGAGGCAGCCAUGACAGGGGCGGGGAAGGAAAUGACAGCAAGGGAGGAAGUGAGAUGACGUCCAUGAUAGGUGUGGGAAAGGAAGACAGGAGGUGUGGGCAUGGUAAGGGCAGAAGUGACGUUACUUUAGAAGCAACCAUGACUGUAGAUAGGUCACGGGACUGGCAGGGUCAACCUCCUUCUGUACUAGGCGCCAUCUUCCUUUAGGGCAUACUAAGUCUCUCUGGAGGCGUGGGUUUCAUGGGAAGUAACAUUCUGUUCGGCAAAAUGAAAAUCUGAACUGUGGACAGACUUGACGGAUUAAAUAAGACAGUUGAGAACAUUAUGCAUUUAACAGCCCAUACAGCUGUUUCUAGAAACAUGUACUUUAAAAUAACUUUAAAAUAAUAAAAUGAUGCAAAAUAAACUCACGGAAUUCAACCAAUUUCCCUUAUCUUCCUCAAACCAUUAAUCACUUUCCUCCUCUUAUACUGACUUAACAACAUCGCAUAUUCCCUCUACACCUUCCUAAAUCCCGUAUUCAACACUGAAUGCAAUCUUGUGAGCUCGUCACUCCCACAAUCCUCAGUACCUUAUACUCUUAUCAGUAGAAAUGCAGGCAAGCGGGGAGGAGAGGGGGGGAGAAAGUGAGACAGUGCAAAAAAGGGAGUGAAGCUGCAGGCAUGAAGAUUAACCAUGUGAGUGCUGGAAAGUAACAAGACAGAAGGACAGAGACUUAUACGUUUGGAAACCAGAAAUCUUUGACGGGAGAAACGGACUGGAGGUGCAGGGAGCUGCAGAGAGAGGAUGAGGGUGACGAGAUCUGUAGGACUGAUGGGGGGGGGGAGAAUAGGGAUCCAUCAGCAUCCAGUGACACAAUUAUUAUAAUACACAAACAAUCUUAAACCUUUAUGAUUUAUCUCUUCCUCUACCCAACCCUCCUGCUGGAUAGCCUUUGCUACUCUGUACCAUGCUUCAGCAGUACGUAAUAAAUCAUUAUCUGUAAGCUUGCCUUUCUUCUCUGUCAGUAAUCUACGCCAGCUUUCUGGCUGUAAUCUACCACAUGAAGGCACAGCAAUUUUACACACUUUAGCAAUCUUUGCAACAUUUUUAACCAGUUCUUCACCUUCUCUAUCUUCAACUAAAUCACACGCGAGCCAGCCCCUAGCGGGCUUACUCGUUUCCUGUCCCAUAUCCCCCUAUACAAAGCGUCCCAAGUAUAGGUAAAGGAAAAUGAAACAGAACGUCUACAAUGCUCGACUGCCACUAGGAAGGGUGGGUCCCUCCCAGUGCGUCUUCCCAAAACGUAGACCAGUCACUGAAUCCGUGUACCCUCGAUGGUAACCACGGAUUGGAGCGGGGUGAGAAGUGUGUGACCAAUCACUUCUCUUUCAAGAGAAAUAGGAGUGGAUAGUGUAAAUAGUACAGGAAGUAAAGUAAAAGUAAACAGUGAAAGUAGAGACAGACCCAGGAGUUUGAAUGACUCCACACUUAAGACAACAUUUAAUACAACAUUUCAAUUGAAAUACAGUGCAUGCAUCAACAGUAAUCCCUUUCCUUUACUCUUGUGGCCACCAAGGCCACCUCCCUCAAUCUCGUAGUGUCCCCGCUCGGAGAACAACUUUCGUAAGUUUCACUACCAGCGGCCAAGGAUAACGACUAACACCGGCCCGAAAUCCAUAUGCCUCCCUCGUUACAGCAGUCCACUAAGUGUGGCCACCUCUAUCCUCACUCCCGUAGUGCUCCCUAUGGACCCACCCACAAGUCACACUACCCCGUGGUGAUGGAGACAACAAUGCCUGCCCGAAUCCACACACCACAAAUAAAUUGGAAUGCCACCAGCCUCAGCGCUCGAAGCUGGAGGGUACCAUAACCUCUGCAAGCAGAGCAACGUACACAAUGAGGCUAGCUAGAAUAUCAAAGUGACGUAACCGGGAAACCCCAGGAGGCAAGUCCCCUCCACAGAUCCCCCAACCCUUCUUUUUCCUUACUACUGUUAGCUAGACAGUACCUAAAAGAAGUAAACAGGAAAACAGGACCCCUUUGGAAAAUCCCCACAGGUCCACCCCCCCUUUUUUCCCAACAGUCUGGGCCAAGUGACUCCUAAAAAGGGGUAAAAACAGGCAACAGAAGACCCCCAGGCAACCACCCACGGGUCCACCCCCCUUUAUCCCAAAAGAGGGAAAGAACAAAACAUAUACCACUAGCACACCCAGGCAACAGAUAGACUAAAUGCAGGUAAACAAAUGGGUAACAAGACACCGGGCAAGAUAUUACCUGUCUUUGAUGCCCUCCCGGGAAGCAGUCACAGACACGUGGACGGGUCAAUCAAAGGGGCUGGAACAUACCGGUGGCUCCUGCAGAAGUCUCUACCGUGUACUCAGAGGUGAUCAGUCUCUCUUCCUUCCCCCCUGAUUCCUCCGUCCAACAGCGUCUUCCUUAGGACGGCUUACCGGCGGAGGCCAUAGCCCGAUGCCCCACGUUGGAUGGACGCCAGAUUGAUGUAGAUUAAUUUAGAAAUAAACAAAAAUGUUUAAAAGUCUAUCUGUUCCUGUCCAAAUCUGAGAUGAAUAAAUUGCGUAUACGCAGAAGUAAGUUCACACUGACACAUGCAGUUCAGGUUAAAAACACUUCAGGAAAUUAAUUAGCAUCUAGUUAAAAAGCGGGCACGCAGGCCUUUUUAUAUGCAAAAUGACAUCAUCAUUGAAUAUCAGAUAAUAACAAAUAAACAUCAUUAAUUGGGUUAAAUGUUAAGUGGCUAUGUCAGUGUCCACCCAUUAAUAUUAUUAAUUGGCUCAGAGAUUUGAGUGACUAGUGAGGCACCCUCCCAUCAUGGGAUGUCGUCGCCAUUGCUCUUUAGCACGAGGCUUACUCGGUGGAAAGGGGGAGCUUGGGCAUCAUUUUACGUAGUUAGUGAUGUCAGUCUCGUGGCCUGGUCCAAGGUUCUUUUAUGAAUAAAACAUUUCAUUUAGUCGCUGUUCUCCUGGCCUUGGAUUAUACUAUGUUGCAAGUCAACGGAGAUCCGCUAACUCCGGGGCUAGUUAUGUCCUUAGAGAGAGAAAAUACAAUCUCUUAUUCAUUAUAUUGAAUACUGUCAUGUAAGGUGAACAAAAUGGAGAGUUCUGUCACAGUGUGAGAUUAAAAAUGGAGUUAGUACAAUUAUUCAAUACAAAUUCAGUAAAGAUUUUAAUAAUUCUACAUCAUAAUCAGUACAGAAACAAGGCAAGACUGGAACAGACACCAAACAUGAAAACAAACCAGAACUAGGAGAGCCCAGAAGCAGAGAAGGAUAGGAAGCUAAACCCAAAAUGUGUACACAAUACAUAAGGGGAACAUUAACUAAACAUGGUCAGAACAAGACAGGACUGUACAUGGACUGGGAAUACAAAAUAAAACAAAAUAAGACAAGAUAUGAUAGGCAAAACAAGAGGAGACAUAACCAAGUACUAUAUGUGAAAACCAUGGGGAUUUAGUUACAUUAUAUGAUCAUACAUUGCAUAAGCCUGCCAACAAUGCCAAUGUACCCCAUAUUCGGCAGGUCCUACUCUGCCUAAUGUCUGCUAAAUAAACCAUAAUAAAGCACAUAUAGCAUUUACCUGCUAGAAAGGGCAGAGGACUUGAAACCACUGCUGCGGGUCCAGACUGAAACAAAAGGAUUCAUGGAAAUGGAACUGGUGUGGCAACUCAAAACAAACAUUUAAAUGAAUCCUGGAGACUGGGAAUUCCAGGGACGGAAUAAAAGGAAUGAACAAAGAAAACCCAGUAUAAAGAAAACCAGACAUAGAAUAGAAAACCAGAAAAAACAAGAAAACUAAACAAGAAUUGUAAAAAGAGUACUGGAUACCAGAAGCCAUUACUAGACUGAUCCGCAAUUUGGAACAGGAUGUGACAUUCACUGUAGCGGCUGUGCGCGCUUUCAGCGUUCUCACCCUGCUGCUGUUCGCCUGUCUGCGCUGCAGCAUAACUUCGGCCUUCCCGCUCACCGCCUCAUAUGCGACGUGCCCACAAGGUGGAACUCCACCUUGCACAUGCUGGAGAGACUGUGUGAGCAGCAGCAGGCGAUAGUGGAGUUUCAGCUGCAGCACGCACGGGUCAGUCGCUCUGUACCAGACUUACCCUCCAAGAGAUCCUCGUUAAAGGAUUUAAAGUGGACUUAUUCCAAUUACAGGGCCUUGAAAGAGUCCUGUAUUGUUAUUUGUCGUCACUACCUCCCUGCAUUGGCAGUUGGUAAUUUGCACACCUGCUGCCUUCCUUGGAUGUGGUAGCCGUUUAUCAGGCUCCCUCUCCGGAAUCGAACCCUGAUUCCCUGUUACCUGUGGUCACCAUGGUAGGUGCAGAAAGUACCAUGGAAAGUUGAUAGGUAGACAUCCGAAUACGUUGUCGCUGUCACGGGAACGUGCAAUCGGCCCAAGGUUAUCUAAAUUCACCAAAGUGCCUGCGCAAUGACUGCCGAGUUGCCCACAUUCUAACUUGUGCUGAUUACUGGGUGGCCACCCUGCUGGAUCCCCAUUACAAGGAUAACGUACCGUCCUUAAUUCCAUCACUUGAGCAUGAUCAGAAGAUGUGCGACUACAAGCGCACGCUUGUAGACGCGCUGCUGAGGGCAUUCCCAACUGACACCGGGGGCUCAGUGGAAGUACAAGGCAAAAGCAGAGGAGGAGGAAGAGGUCGCCAAUGCAGCUGGGGCACCGCCAGCACCUCACAAGGCAGGGUUAGCAUGGCUGAAAUGUGGAAAAGCUUUGUCAGCCACAACAACCAGCACCACCAUCUGAUAUGGAACGUCUUAGCAGGAGGCAGCAUUUCAGCAACAUGGUGGAACAGUAUGUGUGCACAUGCCUACACGUACUGACUGAUAGGUCUGACCCAUUCAACUUAUGAGUCUCCAAAUUGGGCACAUGGCCUGAGCUUGCUCUUUAUGCCUUUGAGGUGCUGGCCUGCCCCGCAGCCAGUGUAUUGUCUGAACUUGUGUUUAGCAUGGCAGGGGGCGUUAUCACAGACAAGCACAGCCGCCUGUCCACAGCCAACGUGGACAAGCUCACGUUUUUUAAAAUGAACCAGGCAUGGAUACCACCAGACUCAUCUGUACCUUGUGCAGAAUAGACAUUUAUACCGACCUCACCCAGCCAUUGUUAUACUCAAGUGCACUCAUUCUUUGUUUUCUUUUUUUAUAUGUCCCAAUAUUUUGGGGGCUACCCCAAUUAAAAAAAAAAAAAAAACAAUAAAAAACAGUGUUGGCUACCUCCACCUCCUCCACCGCCGCUUCCACCUACAGUGCCACGGUCACCGCCUCCUCAACCUAUGGGUCACUUAGUAUAAACUAUGUACACAAUAGCAGAGGCUUGUGAAGGCCUUUUCUCCAUGCAUCAGGAGUUGAGCUCAGUUUGAAUAAUGAAUACCCUGCACUCCAACCCUCUCUCCAAUGGAUAAUUCUGGUGAUCCUCCUGACAGCCGUGCUUUAGAUUUUUAUUUAUGUUCUUCCAAAGCUAAAAUCAAAGAUUCCAUAUAGUGCUAUUUUAUGGCUCAGCUGUAUUUUGAAUUUUUAUGUAUGUUGUGUUAUUUUAAGUGAUUUCCCUAGCCACAAUUGUUUGCAGGGCACUUGUCCUACUCUUACCCCCAUUUUACUUCAUUUUGCAGCCCUCUAGCCCUUUCCAGGACGUUUUUAGAGACCUUUUAGUGCCCAAAAGUUCGGGUCCCCAUUGACUUCAAUGGGGUUCGGGUUCGGGGUGAAGUUCAAGCCCGAACUCUAACUUUUUGCUGAAGUUCGGAUGAACUCGGUGAACACGAACAUCCAGGUGUCCGCUCAACUCUAAUUAUGUUCCAGACAAACACCCGGAACAAAAAUAACUUGUUUUUAAAGAAUACGUCCCCUAAUAAAUCAACUUAAAUUAUCCAAUUACCAGAGAAAUACUUCCAGGUAUAAACUUUGGGCUCUAUUUAUUUAAUCUAAUGGGACUUUACUGAUUCAGUUUCAUGAUUCUGUUUAUUUCUGAUACUUGUCACUUUUGAGCCUUGUAGGCUUCUUUACUCUCCACUAAAGAUAGAACCUUGUGUAUGUUGUAACCCUGGCGACCUCCUACAAUUCAAGAGUGGAACGCAUGAUGGCCGCUGAUUGGAACGAACGCAUCAUACAGACGAGGUUUCUGGAAAUGACGUCACACGAACAAAGAAUACCCUGGAAAAUUGAUUAUGGACAAGCCAAAACAGCUGAAUUUCAUUGGAAACACCCACAGGACCUCCAAUGAGAUGGAAAAGAUGGCCAUAUAGAAUGAAGGACUCUGGGGAGGAACGGUAUAUGCUGCUUUUUUCCUGCUUUAGGAUUGUUUUUAUUAUUAGUAACCCUGAAGAAGUCUCUUGUGAGAUGAAAUGUGUAGGACCAUUUUUCUUGUAUUUUAUUUCAUUUUUUAUACAUAUAAUAAAGCAGUUUAUAUUUUCUGAUGUAUCCCAAGUCUGGCUUUCCAUACUGUGUCGUCAUCAUCCAAAAGCUGAGAGAGAACCCUGGACAAACCCCCCAAUCAUCCAAGGGGAAGCACCCUAUGGUGAUUUUUAAGUCUCCAUCUAGCAAAUGCAAUUGAAUUUAACGCACAGCAACCUAUUUUAACUGUAUUACACUGUUAUAUUGUUAUACCUUUCUGUAGAUUAUCAGCUGUAUCCUCUGUAUUCUGUUUGGCAAUAUUUGAUGUGUAGUAUACUGUCUGGAAUAUCCUGAGAGAAAGCUGUUUUCAUUUGUAUUGGAGAAGUCAGUGAUUCCCAAACGGUGCACACAGGUGUACCGUGGAAUGUUUCCCCGGUGCUAUGAUUAUAGCACCGGGGAAACAUUACUGCUGAACCAGGUCCGGCCGGGUGCCCCGGUCCUCUAAUACAGCGACCGGCGCCCCUGUAAUGUCAGCUGGCUGGGGGAAGAGAAAGCCUGUGUUACAGAAGUCCCCUCUGUCUGCUACAACCUGGUUACUUUUGCUAUUAUUUUUGGUUACUUUUACCCGAACAAGUAUUACAGGCCAUUCGUAUGUGGCAUGUGGCGCCAAUUAAACCCGUUCACCUUUCAAAACACCAAACAAACUGACAAAUGGACAACCACCCUACCUGAAGAGUGUGCCUACAAUCAACCACCCAGGAGCUGCGGUUUUGUUGUUAACCGCAGCCUAUUUGACUGUUGUGACAAAACCCCUGUUUUGCUAGAUCUCUGUAGUCUUUCGGGUUCAUCUGUUAUUUGUGUAUUUGGCCCCUUCCGUGCAUUUAUUAAAAAAACUGCUAGACCACCAACAAUGGACGUGUGCCGCUCAUUAACCACCCAGCCGUUGCUGUUAACCACGGUUAUUUGAUGAACGGCUGGGUGGUCACCAUUCGUUUGUCGAAUACGUGGUGGCGGCCAUUUUAAAUUGUUGAAUGCCCAGCGGUACUUUGCCGUCGACAGUGUGGAACUAUUGUCGGUCUUAAUUUCAGACGAAUAUCGCUGGGGAUCACCAACAUCCAUUGCAUCCAUAUCCAGUUGCACGAACACCGUGCCGUUUGGGACAUUUAUUAUACAAAUAAGACCGACCUCAGGUAGCUGAAUUCAUGGGGCUAAUUUCAGACACAUUUCCACGAAUAGCCAGUGAACCAACUCUUUAGCUCCAUAGCGUUCGAACUGUGUUCGUGGGAUCUUAGUGCUGUUCAGCUAUUUUGAACACUCAGAUCUAAGCUAUCUGGGAGUAUGUUGAACAUGGGGAUUCCGUUCAGCGAAAUACAAGUUAUGGAUUUUAAUACAUUUUUGUUAUAUUGUAAAAUGAAUAUGUUUCUCUCUACCUGGAGAUAAUUGAGUUUACUCCAACCACUUAAGCCAAUUAUCUCAAGGAUAGAGAGGAGGGAUUGCACUGUUUGUGUGGGUGUGUUUAUUAUUGUAAUGUGAAAUGAUUGGUUACUGUAUUUUUUGUCACAGUCUUCCACAAGUGAACCUUGUUGGAAGACCUGCAUAAAAGGCCGAGCUGUGACCGUCAAUAAACCAGACUCAUGCUUAGGGGAUUGGGAGCUAUAAUCACUACUUUGCUCUACUUCAGCUGGGAUUUAGGGAGAAGCUACAAGGAUCAUUCCUACAGGGAUAGCAGGAUCCGUUACAACUGUCUUCAGGGUGGUCACCGUUCGUAUGAAAAGUGUCGAACGGGGUACCAAACUAAAAGACAAACUAACUCCUGAAUGGCCGAUCACCUGGCCCCUGGUGUGUGCCGCCAGGUAACCACCUUGAAGCUGCGGUUUUUGUGGUUAACUGCAACAUAAUUGAUCAUCGCCAGCAUGGUCGCCAUUCGUAUGCACGAACACGUUGUAGUGGACAUCUUUUAUUGUCGAACAGGCGUGGGGGUCCUGGUCGUCAAACACGUGGUACUAUUUUCAAACAAUAGUUUGUGUGAACCUCGCUGAGAUACAUCUUGCCCCGUCUGUUCAUGCACAAAAACUUGAAAGACAUGCCGUAUGACACUUGGUAUCCACAAAAGCUACCGGCCAGUGGACAGAUCCCAUGGCCGACGAUACACGGGCUGCUAAUAGUUGAACAACCCUACAGACAAUUUUCAUCCCCAUGGCAUUCGCAUAACAUUAGUGAGAUCUAAGCUUUUCGUGUAUUUUGUGCGCUCAGAUCCAAGCUGUCUGGGGAUGGGUUGAAUGUGACAUUUAAACAUUAUAAUGUGAAAGUUAUUCAUUUGUAUUCGGUUUUUGUGUACGUAUAAAAAUGUGGUUAUUUCAUGUACUUGGAGAUAAUUGAGUUACUGUAACCAUUGAGACUAAUUAAUUCCAGGGUAGGAGGGAGUGUUUUCUGUAAAAUGCAGUUUAUUUGUAUUGGCUGUGACAUUUUGUUAUCCUGUGUUAUCCUGUGUACCAUCAGGUCCAGAGGGGUGUUCCUCUGGCCUGAAAAUAUGUAUAAAAAGUCGUAUCAAAUCAGUUCUUCUUACCCUCAACUCGCAGCCUCGACUCAUGUUGUAGGGAAAGGCGUUAUACUAGCUUUACUUAUAGCUAGGGGGAUAUCUACAUUCACAGGAUUGCUGUGUUAUGCUGUUCUGAGUGGCGCUCUCCCUCUCCAAGAUCGGGAACCAGGACAUCUAAGCGGCCAACCUUCAGCUAGCCUGGAGGCAACCGUAACAGCCUGUCACUUCCUCCCAGCGUCAUGCAGAGAGACCGCACAGGAGAGAGGCAGCAGCAGCAUGAGGGGAGAAGAGCAUGAAGAGCUCCAGACCCCUCACUACCACAGCAGUAGGACUCAAAUCACCAGAUAUUAAAGAAAAUCACUUGUAUAUGUGUGAGCUUUUGUAUAUAUAUAUAUAUAUGUGUGUAUGUGUCAGUGUACUUCUGUGUCUGCGCAUACAUCUCUUUGUCAGGGUGUGUUUUUAUAUCAGUGUGUGUAUCUGUGUCAUGGUGUGGGCAUGUAUCAAUGUUUGUGUGUGUCAGGGUGUUAUGGGCAAAUACUAAUAUUGCAAGUUUUAGAAUGAAAUGUUGUAUUUCUUAAACUGUGUACUUUGUCUUUAAGAGAUAUUGCAAACUGACAAGGUGUUAGAAAUGGAACAUAUUGUUUUUCAUAACUGUUUCUUUAAGCAAUAACCUCAGUGCAUAAUAUUUUUUGCGCCAUUUUGUCCCAGACGAAUUACAAUAACAAUAAUGCAUAAACAAGCUUCAAGGCUAUACUACGACUCUUUUAGAACACAAUAUACUGUGGUAACCACAAAUUAAUGGAACUUCCCCAAAUCCGGGAAUCUCCCACGAGUGUCCACUCAUGUCUUAGUAUAAACAACAGAUAAGCUAUUCAGACUUUAAAAUGCCAUCUUGAACUAAGUCAGGAAAAUUUCCAUGACGUAUACACCCUUUAGUUAUGGCCUUGUAUGUUUGCCAAGUUAAGGGAGGUCCUAAAAUGAAUAAAGUAAAAGAAGUGUUACUUUUUCAUAUAUGAACUACGGUAACCCUAAAAUGGAGACACCUGCAAUUGCGUUUCAGACAUUCACAAAGUCUAUCCACAUUUGUAAUUAACACAUUAUGCGUUUAUUUUAUACCAUUAAUUAUAGUAUCUGUAUUAUAUUACACAUUGUCACUGACACAUUUCUGAUACAGGGAAAAAAAUAGCAUGAUUGCUUUAGUAAUUAUAAUUUUUCGGUCCAUGCACCACAUUCCUGGAAGUCCAGAAUAUAGCAAGAAUCCUUUGUCAUUUGAUUCUAUGGAGCCAUUUAACGUUUUGAUUGGUAUAGUUGUACCAAAAGAGCAAGGAGUAUGAUGGUAGAUCACAUAUGCAACAGAACCAUUGCAGAUUCCUUGUUGUAUCAAUGUCUCUGUGUUUAUGUAUACAGGAAUUCCUUGCUUUGCAGGUAUGUAGAUAAUAUGUAGAGUUUAAGAAAAGCUGCAAAUCGUGCUUUAGUACAAGUGUGCCAUGAUGUCACGUUUCUGAAAGAUUUUGAUGGCCUUUUAUAUUCCAUUCUCUUGGCAGGGCAUCUGCUCUUAGUAGGCCGGUAGUGUUAUUUAUUAAUUGCAUCAAGGUUUCUUUCCUUAAUUGAUGUGUUUCUUCCAAUUCAUAUGCCACCAAAUGUCAUUGUAAAGUUCAUUGUUGCAGAAUAUUGUUCCAGGAUGGUUUUUUACUCCAGUAGGAAAUCUAUAUUCUUCUUCUUCUGCUUCUUCCUAUUAACCACUUUUUCUGAGUUGAAGGUAUCGAUCUGUGUCUUGUACUUUGAGAUGCUUUGAUAGUCAAUCUGGUUUUGUCAUUACCAUGUUCCAUCUUGAGAAACAGCUGGGUGUUGACAGUUAUCAGCCUUUAUUCUCCUUCAAAUUUGCAGGUUCAGAUGUCAGAUCAUGAUUCAGUCUGUUACGUGGCUAUGAUUCUGGUAUCUUUUCUGUCGUCCUCUGUUUGUUUUAUCUUGUCAUCUUUAACAGCAUUCACUGUCUCAGUCAGUGGUUCUGUGAACGUCCCGUUAGUAUUUAGCAGGUUGUAAAAUAUCAAAACUUACUGUUCUCUGUUGGCUCUGAUUGUUUUCUGUAGUAAAAGUUCUCGGAGUCAACCUCUCCAGGACAAGCUGGCCAACAGUAGGAAAUAGGUGGUGGUGCAAGGCGAGGUGGGCUGGAAAAAAAGUUUCCCUAAAUUUCUCUAAUAGAACCAAUGGUUCUAAGCUCUCCCUGGUGCAGAAAUAUGUUUGUCAGUGAAAAAAUGUAACAUUUCAUAUGGUGUCUCACCAUUUGUAUCAUCAGGUAUGUUGUGAAUGCUCAUCUGUACCAUAGGAAUAAAUAGAUACCACUGUGUGGAGCAACUAGUAACUUGGUUAAUAAUCAUUUAACCUCAGCAUUUUCCCAGACCUCAACCCCACUUCUUUGGGGGUGGUUGGCGCACUGAAAUCCCACAGUAACCAAAAUGUGGUUGCCCAGUUUUAGGUUUCCUUUGCAGUAACUGCAGGACCACCAUCCAAAUGGAUGGUCCUGGGAUUAUCAAAUGCAUACUAAGGAAGUGAGACUAGAAAUCGUGGCAUCAGAGGUUGCACUUCGCACAGUAUAUAGCCAAGUAAACCUGGUACAUGCAUCAACACAUACAAAAACAUAUUUAUAACCAUGAGAUGUUGGCAAACUUCCAAUAUAUAGUAAUUCAAAAAGUAUGUUAGAUAUUAAUAUUUCAAUAAACAGUAAAUCAGUAAUGUGGCAAUAAGCAAAUGCGUAUGAUUACUAAAUACAUGAAUUACAGUAUUCCCCAUACUGGACCACCAAUAUUCCUUUUCAGGAGUCAGAAGUACAUUACCUCUCUCUAUAAGAGCUUGUCCUAGCGAUGAAAAAGCUUUUAGGGCAAGUCUAUCUUUCCUCUAUAGGAAGAACAACCAACAUAUUACCUUCAAUGGUUAUUAUGUAAACAAACCCCUCUAAACGAUAGGAGUAUUUAUGCGGAUACCAGGUGGAUUAUUUCUGGAUAUCCUUGCAAGCAUAAACUCUGCAUCAUGACUGAGAGAUAGGGUAUGCGAUGUGAUCCAGUGACCACAGAAAAGCGUUGCUAGACACAUUGCAUCAAAGUGCCUGUUAAUGACCAACUAUAUGAGGAGAGGGACCAUGCUUUUUAUAAGCAUGUUGUAACGGAACCUCUGGCACCCCGACCAGGUACCUUCCGCUGACGGAUGCUCCUAGUGCUUUCCGAGGACUCCAAGCACUCUGCCUGACACCAUAACCACUGCAGACCCCACAAACCGCCGCAGCUUGGUUGGGGUCUCGCCGUCUCCACCCACUCUGGACCCAGGACCAGGGUCCAGCUUCCAGCAGGUCGACCUCUCUCUAAAUUCCAGAGAGCAGGAACAGGAACAAGCUCUUAGCAGAGCUUAGUGAUUAUACCCUGGGGAGUAUAGUGAUCAUAGCAAUCCCCAGAGUGUAGUUUCUCCCAUCCCCCAAACAUGAGCCGAAACUUCAUGAAGGUACAAGAUGAUCUGUUUAUUGGCACACAAAGAACCUUCUUUUAUGCAGGUCCCCAUGCAAGGGGACAUCCCACAGGGUGGGACACACUACAAGCAAUCACACAAUGGUUACUUCCCACACAUCUCCUCCCCUUAGCCUGAGAGGUAACCCAAUUAUCAAUACAUUUUAAAACACACUUUUUACCCAACUUUCAUAACUCUAAAACCAUACAUCCAAUAUCAAUAAAAGUCACAUAUUAUUAAUCAGAACAUCCCAAAUACAAACAUACCCCAAAAUCAUGCAAAUCCUUCCAUUAAUUCAAAAGUUAGUUAGAAGUCCUUUGUAACCAAAGGAAGCAUGGCUUUUCCUGCCCAAACCAGUUCCCACUGGUCUGGCAGUGUUCUUGGGACAACUCCCUGCUGGAGAACAAUAGAGCUGGGGGAGGGGAAACAUAGAAACAUAGAAUGUGACGGCAGAUAAGAACCAUUCGGCCCAUCUAGUCUGCCCAAAAUUCAAAGGGGCAGAAAAAGUGUCUCAAAAGUUUCAGUAUGUCCAUACACUGUUUUUAAAGGGCCAACAGCGUACAAUAAAAGUCCAUAAGCCCAAAUAAUGUUUGUAAAGGGCCAUAUAACCCAGGGCCAAAGUCAUGAGGCAGGAGGCUGGCAAUCAGGCUCCUCCAAAAGCCGGAGGCAAUGGGCAGCUUGUCACCUAACAAUCCAGGGACAAAAGGCAUUUCGUCACACAUGUCCAUACACGUAUUACAAUGCCAGGCUUUCAGUUUGUUACCACAAAGCAAAAUGCAGUUGUGGAUAUAAACUCACGACGUAUCGUAAGAAAAACAGUUUGAACACCAGACUGAGACUCGAGAUCAGUGAACAGUGGACCAAAAUAGAUAAAUGAAAUCCUAUCAAUUAAUAUACUUUCAAUUUAUUUUCUUUAAAUUACUUUAUCCUCUGUAUUAACUAUGAAAUAUUAAAGUUAAAACAAUAACAUUUAAAAGCCAACUUUUAGUGUGCAUAGGAAUUACAAGGCCGUUCAUAAUGUGAGAUAAAGAACAGCUUUUUUUUAAACCGAAUAGUCUGUGAACACAAAAUGACCUUGCGCUGAAAAUUAACUUGCAGGGGAAAAAAAAACAAAAAACUUUUCUUCUUUUUUUUGUUUUUUUUUUGUUUGUUUUUUAGUAAAUUAAUUAAUUAAUUAAUUAAACAUAGUUAGAGCCUCCCUCAAAGGCCUGAUGACUUUGCAAGAAACAUGCCCUUAAAUACUGGGUAAGUCUAUUAAACAGUGACAGUGACAUUGACAGUGACAUAGCAUUUUUACCCUGUAUAUUAUGUUGUCACAGCUAUAAUGUGCAGUAUUACAAACUAUUCAUAAGUGUUGUGCCAACUGUUCAUUAAAAGCCUGUGGUCUAGUGAGCUAUUUAUUUAUUUAUUCUUUAAAGCUCUGACCUCAAUCGGCAAAGCAAUAUUGUAAAGGUGUCCAUUGCAAUCUGAUAUCUAUACUCAAAAAUUCUGAAUAUGUUCAGAGAUUUCUUGGGCAAUAAUAAAUCCCCCAAAAACAACACCUUUGCAUUUAUGCUAAACCUGCCUGUUGUAAACGGAUUCUGUAUAUUUCUUGACAUAAGUACUUGUACUUGAAUCUGUUUAACAAAGCUGUUAAUAUUGUGGUAAAAAAAAUAAAAUAUAUAUAUAUAUAUAAUAUUAUAUUAUUAUUUAUUUUUUAACAUUGCUUAAUUUUUAAAGAUACUUGCAUAUUUAAUUAAAUUAUGUCUAAAUAUUAAAUUAUGUCUUUAAGGCAUAAAAUAUCUGCAAAUUAAGAUUAUAUACAAAAAAUGCAUAUUCUGGAUGUUCCACUGAUUAAUUUUCAAUAAUAUAUUUAUUUAUUUAUUUAUUUUUCUUAAGUCUGGAAUCAGAUUCACAAUUUCAGCAUUGUAUGCUAAUUACGUUGUACCUGGAACCUGAACUCAAAGUGCUUUGUUCACAUUAAAAUCAUCUCUAAUGAUGAAGAUCUCUCUCUGAGUCUGGGCUACAAAUAGCUCAUUAGAUUCUUGAUGUUUCAAGACGUGUGCCAUGACAAAGUAUUGUGUCUUCUCUUACGUAUAAGAGGUUACCUAGAUAUUUAUUAUUGUAUAGUUAAAGCUUCCAAGUACAAGUCCCUUCGUGGUCGCCAAUUGUAAAAUAAGGAUUGUCUUGGAAGCAAUAGUUUUGUCUUUUAGAUAUUUAUUAUAUAAAAAUAUAAAUAUACACAUAUAAAAUCCAUUACAAUAAUUUAUAGCAGAGUUUAUAAGCUUAAAUUACAUGCUUGCAAAUAUCAUUAAUAGGUUAACAUACCCUUCUGAACAUGUCAUCAUGUCAGCCUCUCUGUCAUUUUAAGAUGGAGCAGUGUCUGUCUCCAAGUCUCUCCUCUGUGUCUUAACAUUUAAAAGUACACCUAUUUAUACCUUCGGUGUCUCCAUCUUAGGGUCACCGCAGUUCAUAUAUGAAAAAGAAACACUUCUUUUACUUUAUUCAUUUUAGGACCUCCUUUAAUUUGGCAAACAUACAAGGCCAUAACUAAAGGGUGUAUAUGUCAUGGAAAUUUUCCUGACUUAGUUCAAAAUGGCAUCUUAAAGUCUGAAUAGGUUAUCUGUUGUUUAUACUAAGUGCACAGUCAUGGGAGAUUCCCGGAUUUGGGGAAGUUACAUUAACUUGGUGUUACCACAAUAUCAGGGCCGGCGCUACUUGUUAGGCGGACUAGGUAGCCACCUAGGGCACCCCUUGGGAAGCGGCGCCGCCAGGAGCGCCGGCCCCCCUCAUGCUGCAGCCGCGCUCUGCAGAGAUCCUCAGGCGGCUGCAGCUUUGCCCGGGCGGUGUGUCCAUGAGGGCAGACAGCACCGCCCGGGCACAGCUUGAGGAGAGGGGCUGACAGGAGGGAAGAGCUCAGCGCACAGCGCUCCCUCCUGUCACUCCCUCGCUGUAGCUUGGCCGAGCCCUGUAUCAUGGUCCGCGGGUACAGGGAGCAUCUGUCUCCUGUACCUGGUCGGACUAACAGGAAGUACACACUGAGUGUUCACUUCCUUUUAGUCUGGCUGGGUACAGGAAACAAAAGCUUCCCUGUACCCGACCAUGAUACAGGGCUCGGCCACGCUACAACAGAGGUAGGGUAGUGGGGGGGAAAUUGACAGGAAAGGGGGAAAUUGACAGGGAAAAGGGGAUUGGAAAGGGGGCUUUACAGGGAAGGGGAAAAUACAGGAAGGGGAAUACAUGGAGGGGGGAGGAAUUGACAGGGGGAAUACAGGGAGGGGGGGAGGAAUUGCACAGUGGGGGGGAAAUUGACAGGAGGGGGAAAUUACAGGAGGGGGGUAAUUGACAGGAAGGGGGAAUUGACAGGGGGGAAAUCUGACAGGGGAAGGGGGGGGAUAAAUUGAAAUGGAGGGUAGGGAAUAAAUUGAAAGGGGUGGGGAAUAAAUUGAAAGGGAGGAAAAUUGAAAGGGAUGGGCGAUAAAUUGACAGGGAGAGUAGGGGGAAUAAAUUGAAAGGGAGGGUGCAGAAUAAAUUGAAAGGGGGGAAUAAAUUGACAGGGGGGAAUACAUUGACAAGGAGGGGGAAUAAAUUGAAAGGGAGGGGGGAAUAAAUUGAAAGGGGGAAAUAAAUUGAAAGGGAGGGGAAGAGAGGGACAAGCAGGGGAGAAGAGAGUGACAAGGGAGGGGGGAGAGGGAAAAGGGGGGGAGGGGGGAGAAGAGAUUGGCAUCCAUCACACACACAAUGCACCCCUUACACACAAAGACAAUGCACCUCUUGCACACAGAAAAACACAGUGCAUUACACACACACACACACAGACACACACAAACACAAGCAAUGCAACUCUUACACACAAUGCAUCCCUUACACACAGAAACACACAAUGCACCCCUCUCACACACUCAAUGCACCCCUUACAGAAGCACACACUGCAUCCCGUACAUACACAGAAACACACCUUGCAGCCCUUACACAUACAAACACAGAUUCACACAAUGCAUUCCUUACACACAUAUCAGGACAUCCCCCUACUCCACCCCCUGUGAACAAACUGAUUGGUGGAACAUGAAGGUGGACACUGGGACCCAGACCUUGAGCUGUGUAAAGGGCUUUAAAAAAAUGGAGCUGCUUCCCGUUUUCCCAGAACAUUCAUUUUUGUGACCACAGUUACAAACAGCCUCCAGAGAGCCUGUUCUACACCAGACCAGUGGAGCCAGACUGCAGCUAGAGCCAAUCAUCAUCCUCAUCUGGUUGUAAGUAGGCAAUCUAGUAUAUUAUUCGUGGCACUAAUCUCUAGUCCCCAGAACCACUUCAGCAUAAUGUAGUGGUUCUGGUGUCCAUAGCCUGUCCCUGCAUGCCUUUUAAUGUAAACACGGCGGCACUGCAGCACUGGCGUUAGUUAACAUGGCAGAUCGUAUGGGUGGGGCAUUGUGAUGUCACAUGGGGGGGAGCGGCAAACUUUACUUUUGCCUAGGGCAGCAAAAAUACUUGCACCGGCCCUGGGUACAGACCAUGUGUAAAUGUCUCGUGAGCUCAGGCAAUCAUACGGCUUUCCUGCCGUAAUCCGUGCAAUGCUCUGAUUGGCCGGAGCUCGGAAGACAGCUACUUAUGGUCUGGAGCCAACAGAAGUGCAGGUUAGAGGUGCCAAACUGCCUCCUCUAUGAAACAGAUGGGCAGACUAAGUGUGCCACAUUAUACUGUGAGUUGUUUUGCUUUGGUGCUCUGGAUUUUCCUUAUUUACCUUGACCUCCUUGGAAUAAAACUCAUAGUAACGCACUGUUUAUCGAUUCAUCACUGAGCUCCACAUCAACAAAUAGCCCUCACAGUACUAUGUAGUGUGUACCAUUUUAUCACAGAACUCCACUGCAAUAAAACUUACAGUAAUGUGCAGUGUAUGAAUGUCACAUAGCUUCACAAUAACACAACUUCCAGCAUUGUGCCUAUUAAUGUAUCACAGAGCUCCCCAACUAUAAAAGCGAGUAAUUUGCAUUUUGUAUGACCGCGCUCCAAUGUAAUACAUCUCAUAAUAAUAUGAUGUAACUUGUGUGUGAUAGGCGUAAUGGCUGUGUGUGACAUGUAUGCUAUGUGUUGGCUGAGUGUGAUAUUUGUGCUGGGUUUAUUGGCUGUGUGUGAGUUUUUUUUUAAUUCAGAUACAAUUAUGCAUGCAGGCCCAUGUGUGAAUGAAGGUGUAUAUUUUUUCAGACACAUGCACAGAGUACCAAAGUCAGAUACACAUAAUUAUACAUAUACACUGUCAAAUACAGCCACAUGCACACAGUCAACCACACAGGUACAGACAGUAACACACACAUACUAGAAAAUGACUUUCCUGUUACUGGUCACUGAAACCAGAACCAGGACUGUCAGCUGGACAAAAUAUUAGUAAAUGAUAAAUAAUUAAAUCAAAAUUGCCAUCAAUAUGUCGGAAUAUAGAGAGGGUUCAUACGUAGAUUCAAGUGAUUAAAAUAGCCUAAAUGGCUCUUCUCCUGUCUAAAGGACUCUUAGACGUAAAGAAUCUAUUUGAGACUCAGGACUCUAAUAUAAUCAACCAUAGUAUGUCCAUGUCAACAGUAAAAGCGGUUGUGGAAUGAGCCUUUAAAUUAACUCCUGUAAUCUAGAUGGAAAAGACAAUCAGUCAAGGAGGAACUUUGAAUAGUGGCUGUAUAUAAAGUAACACUUGUAGCAAAGCCCGCUGUAUCAAAAAAGCUACAAUAAGAGUGUAGUUAAGCAAUCAGCAAUUAAGGAUAACAGCAUUUAACUGGAUACCAAGUAACAUAUAAUAAAAGGAAAAAAGUCUACAUGAAAAUUCGUAGAUUAAUCACAAAAUGUGUCAUAAAUGAUAAAUCUUAAGUUAGUGGUUUCCUAAAUCGCUAUGGGGUACAAAGAGUAUCUGUUGCCCCCUCAAAUACAUACAGAGCCAGUCCAGAUUCCUCAAUCAAAUAGAUAGUUCCAAUCUAGAUAGCAUAUCAGGAGUGACAGGAGGAAAAGGUGAAAAAUUAGGAAAUAAUAGUGCUAAUGUGUAGAACCAUGCUUAGAGUGCAAAUAGUGCCCUAGAAGUGAAAAUAAAAAGUGAGUGAAAGUGAAGGAGAAAAACCUCCUUCAACCCGACGCGCGUUUCGGUGCUGUGAUGCACCUUCGUCAGGGGCUGAAUUCGUUAUGGACCCUAGACCUUGUUUAAAUACCCCUGGUAUUGUAACUGUUGAGAGGAUUCCACCAAUCAGGGUUCCUAUGUGGACCGUCAGUCGGCGCCAAAAUGACGUCAGAAUAUGCUAAUUCGCUGUUUAAAUAAAAAAAAUUUUUAAAAAAAGCUCCAAUCAGGGUUAAGUCCACCUCUACAUUGUGUGGUUUAUAUUUAACCCUGUAUGUACUCAUUGGAUGGAGUGACUUGCUUCAUAGAAUAGGGAAAGGACGAAGGUGAAUAUAUCUGUGUAAAUUUUAUAAUCAGAGACGGAUGAUGCGUCAAGACAUUUAUAUCAUGUAAAGUCAGUGUAUUGCUAUCACAAGGCAUUGUUUGAGAAGUAGACGGUUCAUCAUGGGUUAUCUGGACGCCUGUAGGAUCAUGAGAAUGGGUAGAGAGGCUUUGAGCGAAAAACCUCUAAAAAGUGGAAAUAAGGGAUUUUAACCCUCGCUCAGCCAUGGGGACCUAAUACCUAUCCCAGGAUAUCAUAAGGAUUAUAUAAAUAUGGGUGGUCAGGUUAACUGUACUUCCUAUUAGGGUAAUGAUCAUUUCAUUAUCAAGCCUCAUUCUCGAUUUACGGGCGGAAUUAACCCCCGCUAUACUGUUCUUAGCAGUCAUGUGAAAAUAGUAAUAGCUGAGCUUAUACCCAAAAUUCCCAUGUGCGGGUAUUAUCAAAUGGCUUGAUGAUCGUAAAAAAAUUGCCAGAUACUCAUAUACCAGUGUGUCUACAUAAAUACUAGGUAAUGAAUGCCUCUGAUAUACAUAAUCAAAUAUUGAGGCUUUUUAUAAUGCAGAUAAAUUCGUCAGUUCUUAUUCUUACUAAAUGGAGAUUAGUAUUUCGGUAAUCGAAAUUUGUCCAGCCAUUCCCGUUGGCAGUAUCAAUUCAAUUUGUCAAUUUAGAUGGCUGGUACGUUGGGCUAGUCCAUAUAUCCAUAUAACAUGUAUAGUAUUAUAAAUAGGAGAUGGAGGGAAAAGUAGCAUACGAUAUAUUAAAUUUUAAGUAAUUUAUAUAACUUUUAAUGGAUCAUGUGUCAUCAUGGGAUCAGAGUGAUCGGUCAUGUGUAAGUCUUACUGGACAUAAUUUACUCAAAUGAGUGAGUUAUAUAGUAUAUUUAAAGUGUAUCCAGAAGAUACCCACUAGACAGGCUAUAAUAAUGAGGGCUGUAUACCUUCUUUGAGCCACUAGGGGUCAGUCACAGACAUACCAGGGGUAAAUUUCCAUAUUGAAUGUAUCUAAGUGGUAUUUACUCUUUUGAUGGAUUAAUUUCCAAUUAUUAAAUAGUAAAUUAAUGAAGUGUUGCUAGGGAAGAACCGGUAUUUAAUCAGGGAUAAAGGGAGUGUAUGAAAAUCCUUUGUUAAGGCCCAAGGGGGAUAAAGUUUUUAAUUUAAAUAUCCAGAAGCUCUCUCGCUGUAAGAGUCUUUUGUCCAGAUCUCCCUUCCUUGGUCCCAACUUUAUUUUUUCUACUCCAUUAAAGCGUAAGCCCUGUGCAGAGCCGGCAUGUUUAAUUUUCAAAUGUCUUGAUAUAGAUGUAUCUAUCUGUCUGGAUGGAUUCACAGAGUUUAUGUGUUCAAGGAUGCGGGUUUUAAACUGUCUGAAAGUCUUCCCCACGUAUUUCAAAUUGCAACUGCAAGUAAUGAGGUAUAUUAGGCCCUCGGUUUUGUAGUUAAAGAAGGUUUUAGUUGUAUGUAUCUCAGUAUUAUCCGAGUUAGAGAAUGAUUUCGAUUGUUUCCGGAUAAAUUUACAGGCCUUACACUUGCCGCACUGAAAGGUGCCGGCAGCAGGCGAUUUAAGCCAGGUGUUAAUAGGUUUUGGAAGAGAUAAAUGGCUUGGAACCAAAAUAUCUUUUAAGUUCUGACCUCUCCUUGCUGUAAUCGAUACGUGGGGUGUCAGCACAUCUUUAAGAUGUGUAUCUUGGUACAGUAGUGGCCAGAAUCUCUCUAGUGUUUUUUUCAUACCGUCCCAACCCGAAUCAAAGGUUCCAAUACAUCUUAUUAUUUCCUGAUUUUUGUUUUGGGGGGGGGGGGACUUUUCGGACAGAAGGUUGGUCCUUUCGGUAGCUAGUGCCCUGUGAUAAGCUCUUUUUAGACACUUGUUUGGAUAUCCCUUGGCUUUAAAAAGGGAUCUCAGGGUCUGUGCUUUUAUUUUAAAAUCUUCUUGGGAGGAACAAUUCCUCCUUAGUCUGAGAUAUUGGCCUGUCGGUAUCCCACUUUUUAAAGCAGGGGGGUGAUGACUCUCCCAGUUCAGAAAGUUAUUGGUUGCAGUUGGUUUUUUGAAAAGCGUGGUGGUGAAAUCGUUGUUAUGAGAAAUUUCGAGAGUUAGGUCCAAAAAAUUCAGUCUUUUCUCUCCUAUAUCGAAAGUGAAUUUAAGGUUAAUCUCAUUCACAUUGAGUACUUCCACGAAUUCAUGGAAUAGAUCAAUCGGACCUGACCACACUAUCAAAAUGUCAUCGAUAUAGCGUUUCCAUAGGUUUAUGUGUACGCUAAAUUUANNNNNNNNNNNNNNNNNNNNNNNNNNNNNNNNNNNNNNNNNNNNNNNNNNNNNNNNNNNNNNNNNNNNNNNNNNNNNNNNNNNNNNNNNNNNNNNNNNNNUUUUGACGCUGGGCCUAUGUGCAAUUUCCAAGCAUUUUCGCAGGUUUUAAAUUCAAACUACCCCACAAAGGCCUACCAUUUCUUAAAGCAGAUACCUUAAGGUGUUUCAAAAGGUAUAUUUUGAACCUUAGCAUGGGAUCAUUUUUCCGCUAGCUUGUACCAGAUGUAGUGGUAAUAAGCGUUUUUUCUGCCUUUUUGACACACAAAGUGAGUUUGCACAGCAUAUUUUGCAAACCUUAUGGGUGCUAUGAUUGUAUAAUACUUCAUAUGUUGCUCAGCUAUGUCGGCUGAGUACAGCAAUACCCCUGUAUAUACCUUUGCCAGGUGUAUUUGGAUGUUGAAGGGGCGCAUUUGAGACGCAGCCAUUCAGUUUUUUUCUAACUUUUAAGUUUUACGCUGUGUCCAUGUUCCAAUUUGGAGUAGUUUAAACGGUUGGUUAUUGAAACUUUCCCACAAACACAUACUAUUUAUUAAAGAAUACACCCUGGGGUAAUUCAAAAGGCAUAUUUUGAACCUUGGCGUGGGAUGAUUUUUUCUCUAGUUUGUUCCAGGUGUAGUGGUAAUGAGAGUUCCAAGGCUAAUACAGAGGCAUACCAGAGCACCAUUAAGAGUACGGCUAAACCCAAAUCCAAGUCCAAAUCCAAGUCCAAAUCAAAAAAGGCAAUGCAACUUACCUGAAACCAUGUCCACAGCCAUGUGGUCUGGUAGGAGGAGUAUUUUUACCUUUAUUUCCUGUCCUAAACAGCCAAGUGGGCAGAGCUAACCCUAUCAUAAUGCUGCCAUGGAUAUAUCCAGGAAUAACAGAUGAAUUGAGUGCUGCAUGUGUUGCUCUCAAACUAACGGAGUAUGAGCCAAGAUUUGACAAAUGUUCAGCAUUUAUACAGCAGCAAAAAUCCCAUUAAUUGUGCCAACUGCAAACUAAUGCAGUGUUUGUGUCCAAGACACUAAUUUAGGAGUUGUUUAAAGUGUGUUAAGCAAGUUUAGAUUCCUUGUUUAUCCUGAUCAUCCUAAUGCAGGUAGACAUUUACUUUGACUGUAGAAGAAGAGAAAGCAGAGUAAGGCUUUCCUCAUACAAUGUCAGUCUCGGAUGUAAUCAGAUUACAAGCUGAGUAUCCCCCUUGUACGCAUCUUUAGCACAGUAUACAGGCAGUUUUGGUGCAGCUGGACAGACAGAAACCCGACGAAAAAUGUGUGUCCAUUGACUUACAUACAAAGCUGCACCAAAACUGGAUGUAAGGCAGAUGUAACUCUGAUGUAAACUGGGCCAAAGCAGCAUGUAAGAUGCAAGCAAACUGCAGGUGGAUAGAUGGUGUGGCGGAACCGACCUCGCCGCAGGUUUUUGGAGGGGCCUGUUUGCCAGCCUCCUGCCAUGUGACUAUGGCCCGUGGGAUGUAUUGCCCUUUAAGGAACUGAUUUGGGGCUUAUGGACUUCUAUUGGACUGUGUAAACUUUAAACCCCAUGGUGAUUUGACUGUGUGGGAUCUGGGUGCUGUUUGGAUAUAUUGAGUGCUCAGANNNNNNNNNNNNNNNNNNNNNNNNNNNNNNNNNNNNNNNNNNNNNNNNNNNNNNNNNNNNNNNNNNNNNNNNNNNNNNNNNNNNNNNNNNNNNNNNNNNNUCCAUGCCAUCUGGGGAUAGGUUGAAUGUGGAGGUUCUGUUAAGUAUGAUAGGACCUAAGUAUUUUUAUGUGUUUUUACUGUUGUUGUGAAUUGUAACGGCACCUUCAGCAUCAAAAAGGGUUAAACCGCCGUUUAGAUCUUCCCUUCCAGAGACACAGGCACAGGUACUGCAGAACACCAAUCUGCCGAACAGGAAACCAUACGAAUGCUGAAACAGCUGAAUAGGAAAAAACAUACGAAUAGGUUUACACUCCUAGCAGUCAAACUGGAACAGCAUACAGUAAAUCCCCCCAAGAACGAGACACAGCUCUGUGUUGAGGGUCAAGCACUGAACAGACAGAGCUGUGGGUUUAUUGUUCUUAUAUACACAUUAGUACCACCCACAGGGUUUUGGAACACAACCAAUAAACACAUACAAUACACUCAGACACUCCCACACAAAAUCCUCCCCUCUGCCUGUGAUUCAAUUACCUUACACAAUGGGUAAUGUAAUUAUAACAAGCAGAGAACUACAAUUUAUCCACAUUAUUCAUAACUUGAAAAGUAUGUAUCACAUUCACACAUAACUUACAUUUUCAGAAUCAGCAUACUCCAAUUACAAACAUACGUCAAAAUCAUACAAAUUGGUCCACUGGUUCAAAAGAUAGAUUGUAGUCCUUUGUGACCAAAGGAAGCAUGGCUUUUCUGCCCAAAACCAGUUCCACAGAGUCUUCUAUCCUGGAGAUAAUUGGGAAGGAAUCCAAUUAUCUCCAAGGACAGAGGCAAAACUCCAUUGAACACAUGGCAGCAAAAAAGACAAUAAAACACAUAAAAAGAUAUAACUGUGCAGCCAUUGCACAAAACAGGUACAUUCAACAUAUCCCCAGAUAGCUCAGAUCUGAAUGCACAUUAUUACUGAAUGGCGCUCAGAGGACACACAUACAGUUCAAUUGCCAUGGAGCCAAAGUCUUUCCCAUAGUCUUUCAUUAUACGAAUGGGCUCAAUGGCAUAGCUAUCUGGGGUAUCACCGCUCAAACAGGGCAAGCACCAAAUGACCCAGCUUUCAUGUCUUUGCAGGGGAAAAUCAAGCCUUUUAACAUGGGGCCAUGAUCCAAAGGCAACAGACGAGCAACCAGGCUUCUCCAAUGCAAUGUGGCGAGAUUGGUCUCGUCACAUGAAUAGAGCUAUUUUCUGUAUACUGGAGAUAAUUAGCUUACUACACCCAAGCUAUGCUUGCAGUGGUCACAAAGGGACUUCCAACAAACUUUUGAUCCACUGGACCAAUUUGUAUGAUUUUGACGUAUGUUUGUAUUUGGUAUGCUGAUUCUGAAAAUUUAAGUUGUAUGCGAAUGUGAUGCAUACUUUUAAAGUUAUGAAUAUUGUGUAAAACUGUUAGCCCAUUGUGUUAUUAUUAUUAUUAUGAUAUUUAUACAGCGCCAUCAAAAUCUGCAGCGCUUUACAAUGGGUGGACGAACAGACAUGUAGUGGUAACCAGACAAGUUGGACACACAGGAACAGAGGGGUUGAGGGCCCUGCUCAAUGAGCUUACACGCUAGAGGGAGUGGGGUAAAAUGACACAAAAGGUAAGGAUAGUAUUAGACUAGUGACAGUUGCAGAAGAGGAAUCAGUCAGGAGCUAUUAACAGUUUAAUUGAUACACUUUUAUGAAGAAGUGGGUUUUUAACAAUUUUUUGAAGGAGUGGAGAAUGGGUGAGCAUCUAAUGGAGGAGGGAAGCGAGUUCCACAGGAACGGUGCAGCCCUCGAGAAAUCUUGAAGGCGAGCAUCAGAGGUGGGAGUACGGACAGAAGAUAGACGUAAGUCUUCAGCAGAUCGUAAGGGCCUAGACGGGACAUACUUGUGUAUAAGGGAGGAUAGAUAGGUGGGAGCAGCAUUAUGUAGCGAUUUGAAAGCAAGAACCAGAAUUUUAAAUUGAGCUCAAUAUUUUAUAGGAAGCCAAUGUAGGAACUGACAGAAGGGUGAGGCAUGGGAGGUGCAGGCGGACAGGAAGAUGAGCCUCGCCGAUGCAUUCAUUAUGGAUUGUAACGGUGCAAGUUGGGAGCACGUAAGACCACUGAGAAGCGGAUUCCAGUAGUCAAGGUGAGAAAGGACAGUGGAAUGGACCAACACCUUAGUCGCAUCUAGCGUUAAGUAGGGGCGGAUGCGCACAAUAUUUUUAAGAUGUAAAUGACAGGAUUUGGCGAUAGAUUUAACAUGAGGCUUGAAGGAGAGGUUGGAGUCAAUGAGAACACCUAGGCAGCAAGCCUGCACAGUGGAGCUGAUGGUAGCACCGUUGACUUGAAGGGAGACAGACACAAGAGUAACAACACUUGAGGGAGGAAAGACCAGAAUUUCAGUUUUGGUCAAGUUUAGUUUAAGGAAGUGGGCAGCCAUCCAGUUAGAAAUAGCAGAGAGGCAGUCAGAGACACUAGUCAAGAGGGAUGGGGAGAAAUCAGGAGAGGACAGGUAGAUUUGUGUGUCAUCUGCAUUGAAAUGAUAUUGGAAGCCAAAGGAGCUAAUGAAUUUACCAAGGGAGGCAGUAUAGAUGGAGAACAGCAGGGGACCAAGGACUGAACCUUGGGGGACACCAACAGAGAUAAGCUGGGGAGAAGAAGCAGAGCCAGAGAAAGAAACACUGAAAGAGUGCUGGGAGAGGUAGGAGGAGCACCAGGAGAGAGCAAUAUCUUGUAGACCGAUAUUGCGGAGGAGGAGAAGAAGCUGUUGAUGAUCAAUAGUGUCAAAAGCCACAGACAGGUCAAGGAGAAUUAGGAUAGAGUAGUGACCACGAGAUUUUGCAGCGAGUAGAUCAUUGGAUACUUUGGUCAGUGCCGUUUCCACAGAGUGCUUAGCGCAGAAACCAGACUGAAGCGGAUCUAGCAGAGAGUUGCAAUCGAGGAAGUCUGUCAAUCUCACAUACACAAUUCUUUCAAGGAUCUGGAUGCAAAAGGCAGUAGCGAUAGUUGGAUUGGGAGUUAGGGUCAAGAUUGGGCUUCUUUAGAAAUGGUGGUUACAGUUGCAUGUUUGAAGGGCGAUGGAAAUAUAGCAGAGGAGAGAGAGAGAUUGAGUAUUUUAGUGAGAGGUUGAGAAAGAGAAGAAGACAGAGUACAGAUGAGAUGUGAGGGAAUUGGAUCUAGGGAGCAGGUGGUGGGCGGGAAGACUGGAGCAGAGCAGAAACUUCUUCCAAUGUAGCGGGUGCGAAUGAACAUAGAACAGCAGAAGGAGUGAAGUUAGGGGAAGUAUUGUAAGAGGAAGAAGAAAUAUGAGAGAUCUCCUUUCUGAUUGUAUAGAUCUUGUCAGUGAAGUGAGUUGCAAAGUCUGAGGCAUUCAAGUUAGUUGGUGGAGGAGGAACAGCAGGGCGAAGAAGAGAAUUAAAUGUGAGAAAUAGUUGUUUGGGUUCGCGGGAGAGUGUGGUUAUGAGGGUAUUGAAGUAAUUAACUUUUGCAGAGGAAAGAGACAAGCUGUAUGAACUCAGCAUAAAUUUAUAGUGGAGAAGGUCAGAUGCACAGUGAGACUUUCUCCAACAGCGUUCAGCAGUUCUGGAGCAUUUUUGGAGGUAUCGAGUGAGCUUGGUGUGCCAGGGUUGUUGUUGUUGGGGACACCUGCCAUUGGUGCCAUAAUGUCUAGUUGAGAGGAGAGGGAGGAAUUGUAGAAGGAGGUUUCAGAACUAGGACAGGUGAGGUUUGAGAUAGGUAAAAGGAGAGUUUGAAGAUUAGUGGAGAAAUGCUCUAGGUCAAGACAUUGGAGGUUUCUGUGAGAGUGAUGUUCAGACGGUGCUAUCAAUUGGGUCUUAAGUAUGCCAAUGUCAAAAGUCAGCAGAUGGUGGACAGAUAGAGGAAAAAUAAUAUUGGAGUGAUUAGAGGCAGUACAGAGGUUGGUGAAGGCAANNNNNNNNNNNNNNNNNNNNNNNNNNNNNNNNNNNNNNNNNNNNNNNNNNNNNNNNNNNNNNNNNNNNNNNNNNNNNNNNNNNNNNNNNNNNNNNNNNNNGCCCGGAAUUUGUUUCGAGUUUGAGGUGUCCCUGUUUCGGACAGCGUUUCUGUUGGCUUUCUUUGGGGCUUUCCGGAUUAGCGAGUUGGUGAGUGCCAAUCGGAUGGCGGCCGGGGGCCUGCAGGUCUCGGGGGUUUGGCUACAAGGGGGGAAAUUGAUGGUUCACCUGGCCGAAUCUAAGACGGAUUUACGGGGGUUGGGCCGUGAUGUGACACUUCGGGCCCUACCAGGCUCCGGUCUGUGCCCGGUAGCCUCGGUGGCAGAGUAUUUGGUCCGAAGGCGAGGGUUGGGGGAUCCCUCCUGGUGCACGCAGACGGGUCUUCCCUCUCCCGAUUUCAAUUUAUUAAGAUUUUUGGGUUGGGCCUGGGAAAAAUGGGGUUACCGGCGGAUAGCUUUGGUACACAUUCUUUUCGCAUUGGUGCGGCCAUGGAAGCCACAGGGUUGGGUCUGGGGGACGACAUAGUUAAACGAAUUGGGAGGUUGGAGUCAGUACGGUUCCGGACGUACGUGCGGUUGGGAUUGUUAGAAUGAUAUGGCGGGCCUUUUUUCGGUGGUUCCCAAGGGGCAAUAGGGGGGUGUUGUUACAAUCUGUAUUUUUCUCUCUUCCCCAGGCUAUGUUGCAUGGAUCGUGGGCCAUUCCUUUGUUUUCUGGGUCUUUCAUUAUACGAAUGGGCUCAAUGGCAUAGCUAUCUGGGGUAUCACCGCUCAAACAGGGCAAGCACCAAAUGACCCAGCUUUCAUGUCUUUGCAGGGGAAAAUCAAGCCUUUUAACAUGGGGCCAUGAUCCAAAGGCAACAGACGAGCAACCAGGCUUCUCCAAUGCAAUGUGGCGAGAUUGGUCUCGUCACAUGAAUAGAGCUAUUUUCUGUAUACUGGAGAUAAUUAGCUUACUACACCUAAGCUAUGCUUGCAGUGGUCACAAAGGGACUUCCAACAAACUUUUGAUCCACUGGAUCCAAUUUGUAUGAUUUUGACGUAUGUUUGUAUUUGGUAUGCUGAUUCUGAAAAUUUAAGUUGUAUGUGAAUGUGAUGCAUACUUUUAAAGUUAUGAAUAUUGUGUAAAACUGUUAGCCCAUUGUGUAAUUAUUAUGAUAUUUAUACAGCGCCAUCAAAAUCUGCAGCGCUUUACAAUGGGUGGACGAACAGACAUGUAGUGGUAACCAGACAAGUUGGACACACAGGAACAGAGGGGUUGAGGGCCCUGCUCAAUGAGCUUACACACUAGAGGGAGUGGGGUAAAAUGACACAAAAGGUAAGGAUAGUAUUAGACUAGUGACAGUUGCAGAAGAGGAAUCAGUCAGGAGCUAUUAACAGUUUAAUUGAUACGCUUUUAUGAAGAAGUGGGUUUUUAACAAUUUUUUGAAGGAGUGGAGACUGGGUGAGCAUCUAAUGGAGGAGGGAAGCGAGUUCCACAGGAACGGUGCAGCCCUCGAGAAAUCUUGAAGGCGAGCAUCAGAGGUGGGAGUACGGACAGAAGAUAGACGGAAGUCUUCAGCAGAUCGUAAGGGCCUAGACGGGACAUACUUGUGUAUAAGGGAGGAUAGAUAGGUGGGAGCAGCAUUAUGUAGCGAUUUGAAAGCAAGAACCAGAAUUUUAAAUUGAGCUCAAUAUUUUAUAGGAAGCCAAUGUAGGAACUGACAGAAGGGUGAGGCAUGGGAGGUGCAGGCGGACAGGAAGAUGAGCCUCGCCGCUGCAUUCAUUAUGGAUUGCAACGGCGCAAGUUGGGAGCACGUAAGACCACUGAGAAGCGGAUUCCAGUAGUCAAGGUGAGAAAGGACAGUGGAAUGGACCAACACCUUAGUCGCAUCUAGCGUUAAGAAGGGGCGGAUGUGCACAAUAUUUUUAAGAUGGAAAUGACAGGAUUUGGCGAUAGAUUGAACAUGAGGCUUGAAGAAGAGGUUGGAGUCAAUGAGAACACCUAGGCAGCAAGCCUGCACAGUGGAGCUGAUGGUAGCACCGUUGACUUGAAGGGAGACAGACACAAGAGUAACAACACUUGAGGGAGGAAAGACCAGAAUUUCAGUUUUGGUCAAGUUUAGUUUAAGGAAGUGGGCAGCCAUCCAGUUAGAAAUAGCAGAGAGACAGUCAGAGACACUAGUCAAGAGGGACGAGGAGAAAUCAGGAGAGGACAGGUAGAUUUGUGUGUCAUCUGCAUAGAAAUUAUAUUGGAAGCCAAAGGAGCUAAUGAAUUUACCAAGGGAGUCAGUAUAGAUGGAGAACAGCAGGGGACCAAGGACUGAACCUUGGAGGACACCAACAGAGAUAAGCUGGGGAGAAGAUGCAGAGCCAGAGAAAGAAACACUGAAAGAGUGCUGGGGGAGGUAGGAGGAGCACCAGGAGAGAGCAAUAUCUUGUAGACCGAUAUUGCGGAGGAUGAGAAGAAGCUGUUGAUGAUCAAUAGUGUCAAAAGCCACAGACAGGUCAAGGAGAAUUAGGAUAGAGUAGUGACCACUAGAUUUUGCAGCGAGUAGAUCAUUGGAUACUUUGGUCAGUGCCGUUUCCACAGAGUGCUUAGCGCAGAAACCAGACUGAAGCGGAUCUAGCAGAGUGUUGCACUCGAGGAAGUCUGUCAAUCUCACAUACACAAUUCUUUCAAGGAUCUGGAUGCAAAAGGCAGUAGCGAGAUAGGACGAUAGUUGGAUUGGGAGUUAGGGUCAAGAUUGGGCUUCUUUAGAAAUGGUGGUUACAGUUGCAUGUUUGAAGGGCGAUGGAAAUAUAGCAGAGGAGAGAGAGAGAUUGAGAAUUUUAGUGAGAGGUAGAGAAAGAGAAGAAGACAGAGUACAAAUGAGAUGUGAGGGAAUUGGAUCUAGGGAGCAGGUGGUGGGCGGGAAGACUGGAGCAGAGCAGAAACUUCUUCCAAUGUAGUGGGUGCGAAUGAACAUAGAGCAGCAGAAGGAGUGAAGUUAGGGGAAGUAUUGUAAGAGGAAGAAGAAAUAUGAGAUCUCUUUUCUGAUUGUAGAGAUCUUGUCAGUGAAGUCAGUUGCAAAGUCUGAGGCAUUCAAGUUAGUAGGUGGAGGAGGAACAGCAGGGCGAAGAAGAGAGUUAAAUGUGAGAAAUAGUCGUUUGGGUUUGCGGGAGAGUGUGGUUAUGAGGGUAUUGAAGUAAUUAACUUUUGCAGUGGAAAGAGACAAGCUGUAUGAGCUCAGCAUAAAUUUAUAGUGGAGAAGGUCAGAUGCACAGUGAGACUUUCUCCAACAGCGUUCAGCAGUUCUGGAGCAUUUUUGGAGGUAUUGAGUGAGCUUGGUGUGCCAGGGUUGUUGUUGGGGACACCUGCCAUAGGUGCCAUAAUGUCUAGUUGAGAGGAGAGGGAGGAAUUGUAGAAGGAGGUUUCAGAACUAGGACAGGUGAGGUUUGAGAUAGGUAAAAGGAGAGUUUGAAGAUUAGUGGAGAAAUGCUCUAGGUCAAGACAUUGGAGGUUUCUGUGAGAGUGAUGUUCAGACGGUGCUAUCAAUUGGGUCUUAAGUAUGCCAAUGUCAAAAGUCAGCAGAUGGUGGUCAGAUAGAGGAAAAAGAAUAUUGGAGUGAUUAGAGGCAGUACAGAGGUUGGUGAAGGCAAGAUCAAGAGUGUUUCCCGCUGUAUGGGUUGCUAAAUUGGACCAUUGCAUAAGGCCAAAGGAGGAGGUUACAGAGAGCAGAUGAGAGGCAUCAGUGCAAUAUGGGUUGUUGAUUGGGAUAUUGAAAUCCCCAAUUAUAAAGGAAGGAGUGCUAGAUGAGAGGAAGUGGGGAAGCCAGGAAGAAAGGUGCUCAAUGAAUAGUCUAGGAUAACCAGGGGGGCGGUAGAUGAUAGCACUCAGGCUUGCCCACUGAAGGAAUGGGCUAGCAAAGUUGGGGAAUCAGGCUGUUGAAUAAAGAGAUGUGAGGGUCAGAGAGCUUGCAAUAAAGGUAAGGGAGGGGGAAAUGUGUUUAGGUAAAGAGAUGAAGAGAUGGAUAUUCAAAUAAAAACAAUCAUAUCAAUAAGAAAAGGGAGGGGUCAGAGGUUAAUAAAACAAUUACAGACAGGGCUAGCAAAACUAGACUUUAGCAUAACAGCCAAGAUAUAAAUACAAGAAAACAAGAAAAUAUGCAAUGUACACAGGAUAUAUAUAUAUAUAUAUAUAUAUAUAUAUAUAUAUAUAUAAAUGUGCAGGGUGGUUAAGUUAUAAAUAAAUGAAGGUGUGCAGGAUAGAGUCUUUGUGUGGUCUUCCAGAAGGCUACCUUAGCAGACAAUCAUGCUUGCUCACUGAUGGAAUGGGCUAGCAACGUUGGGGAAUCAGGCUUAGCAGAUGAUGAGGCUUGCUCACUGAAGGAAUGGGCUAGCAAAGUUGGGGAAUCAGGCUUAGCAGAUGACCAGGCUUGCUCACUGAAGUUCAGUAAUUAUAUCACAGGCAGAGGCGAGGAUUUUGUGUGGUAGUGUCUGAGUGUAUUGUACGUACUGAUUGGUUGUAUUUCAAAACCCUUUGGGCGGUACUAUGUUUGUAGAAUGGGCAUAAAAGCAGAGUGUUUGAUUACAAGCUUAAAUUCUACUUCACCCUCAGUUUGGAGUGCAGUCUCUUAUUGGGGGAAUCUGCUACAAGGGAUUGCUAUGCUUGUCAGACUCCCUUGCUAAAUCACUACUGUGAUGAGACCAAUCUCGCCACUGUGCAUUGGAGGAGCAUAGUUGCCCGUCUGCUGCCUUUAGACCAUGGCCCCAUGUUGAAACGCUUGAUUUUCCCAUGCAAAGAAACGAAAGUCGGGGCAUUCGGUAUGUGGGGAUAUUUAUGGGAUGAUAAUAUUAUACAGUUGAGAAUUGCCCACUAUUUCAAUUCUCUUAGAUCUUAGAGAUCGUUAUCAUGUAAGUGAAAUGUAUUCCAUACAAAUAAAAUCACAAUUUGUUAUAAAAAUAGAUAUAAUUUAUUGUGACAAAUUAAAUAACAAUAAUAUUAGGCAGCAUGCAUGAUAAUAAUCAGUGAAUAUUUAGUAUAACAUAAGUAUGCAAUACAAUGGCAAUGGCUAAACACAGUACAAACUACAGUAUCACCUGUCAAGACUUACACGAUUAAUGGGUACUUCUCAGUACAAAGAAAGCAAAACGCCAUAAAACCUUGGCUAACAGUUAGAUCAACUGUGUAACCCCUUCAAUGCUGGCUAGAUCCUCUUACGCAUAUAAUAUCCUAUUCUCAUGUAAUUUUCAGAUAAAAUAACAUUCGAACCAGCUCAUUAGUCAUUUCCUGGAACCAUCCAAUAAGAAUAAUCUACCAGAUUACAAAAGCCAAAUUUUAAUUUGCCUAAAAAAGAUAUCUUAUCUUAUUUUAGAGCAAAUCAAUACACCUGGAUAAAAACAGCGGUAUGCUAACACGUGAUACUAUCACAUUCAUAUAUAAUUAUUCUUAAUUCCACCUGCAGAAUGGAAUGUUUAUAACUAUAUAUUCUUUAGUUAACUAAGAUUUGUUCAACCUGCAGAUUGCAAUUUAGGUAUUUGAUCCAUAGAGGGCAGUCUCGCCUCACUAAACCUUCCUAUCCAGGAAAGAGUUAACUUUUCCUGAUGACGAUUUUGACGUCAUUUGGCUUAUCUAAAAUAACCACCAUAACUUAAAUUUGCUGUCAGUUCAAAGCGUUUGUCUCAGUCUUUGUGGCAACUACUAUGAUCAUAAUUUCUAGGAUUGACAGUUCUAAACUCAAUUUCACCCCUUACUUACAAUGGGACCUUGUAAAAUUUAGAAAGCAAAAUUAAUUACUUAGUCUUCUCUGUCACUAGUGUCUGUGUUUAAAAUUAUUUCUGUUCUAUUAACAUUUAAACAGAACAUUCCAUCCACCUGCUUCAUUGCUUAUCACUUGGCUUGUUUAUAUAAUGCAUUCCUUAGCUCAGGCUAGUGGCUAGUUACAGAAAGUAAGAAGAAAUGAUGUGUCUUUGUUGGCCUGAAGAUCCAAAAUGUAGUCCGCUCUAUUCUGAGUGACUCAGGAAAUAUACACUUUUAAUUUCUAUCUUAGCACAAAAUGUCUGCCAAUAUAAAUAUCUUGACAGUGUGUGUGUGUGACUGCCUGCCUGUGUGUGUGACUGUCUGCGUGUUUGUGACUGCCUGUGUGUGUGUGUGUGUGUGUGUGUGUGUGUGUGACUGCCUGCGUGUGUGAUUGUGGCAAAACUAGCCACUUUAAGACUGUAUUUACAUUAAUGUGUUGCUGUAACUUUAAGGAUGUUAGAACCAAGCAUAUACUUAAUUUUUUAUGUUAGGCGAACAAGAACAUUUGUAUGCUGGCCAUUCAUACAGUAGUUUCACGAAUAGUGAAUUUCAACACUGUUCGUAAAACGAACAAACUACCGAAUGGGAGACCACACACAGAAGGUCGUGUGGCUCCCAUUAAACAUUGCAACAUUGUAUAUUUCAGAAGUUAUGAAAGAUUCAGUGUGGCCCCGCGGUGGUCGGCCAUCUUGGUUCCUUUGUUAACCCAGCGGUAUUUUGCCGUUGAGUGCCUGGAACUAAAAUCGGCUACUCGACGGCACGAAUACCGCUGGACUUCAAGGCCGUUCGGGAGUACCGGUCUUUCAGUACUUGCUUCCUACAAGUGUAUUCGUGCAAUUUAGGCGAAGUAUANNNNNNNNNNNNNNNNNNNNNNNNNNNNNNNNNNNNNNNNNNNNNNNNNNNNNNNNNNNNNNNNNNNNNNNNNNNNNNNNNNNNNNNNNNNNNNNNNNNNUAUUAAAGUGUAAUUCAUGCGGCUUCGGCUAGAUGUGCUGGGUAUGGAGCGGUAAUUGCACGAUAUGUGCGCUCAGACCCCAGCUAUCUACCGAACGGUCAUUCGGUAAUACAGUAGGAAUAAGGUUAAAGUUAUAUAUUUUUAUGUGAAAUGCCAGUUCUGCUGUACGGAGGGAUAAUCUACUUAACUGGAUAUUCUGCUGGGAGUAUCCCUCUCGUACAGCAGUGCAUGAUGGGAGAAAGAUCUUGGUUGUUAAGUUCCCAAUGUAGACCCCUACUGUACAACCCCUGUAAUGUCAGUAAGAAAACCUCUUGCAUGGGGAACUGCAUAAAUACUGUGACCUGUGAUUAAAACCUCAGUUGACUCCCAGCCUAUGUGUCAUUUAGUUCUUGGGAAGGAAAAAUUUGUACAGCUCUACCGGGAUUAUUGUAUGCUGUACUUAUUUUGUCUGGAUGAUUUUAUGCUGUUCCUGUUACCCAGCGGAGAUACCGUGGAUGAAACUAUCUCUCCGCUACAGUGACUGCAUUUGUGUGUGUGACUGCCUGUCUGUGUGACUGCCUGCCUGCAUGUGUGACUGCCAGUGUGACUGUCUGCCUGUGUGUGUGAUUGCCUGCCUGUGUCUGUCUGUAACUGUCUGUCUGUGUGUGACUGCCUGCCUGUGUGUGUGUGUGACUGUCUGUGUAUGUGACUCUGUGUGUGACUCUAAUUGUGUGUCACUGUAGCUGUGCCAUUGUGUGUGCCUGUGCCUGUAUGUGUGACUGCCUUUAACUGAGUGUGUGUGUGUACAUGCCUGUAACAGAGUUAAUAUUUCCCCCACCCAUUCCUGUCAAGACCGCACUUUGACUGACAGACGCACACUCACUGACAGACACACACUCUCAUACACAUUGACAAACAAUGACAUACACACACACCAUUACUUGGGCACACACUGACAGAUGCACACUCUCACUGACAAACUGACACACUCACUGAAAGAUGCACGCCCCCACUAACCGACACAUACACACUCACUGACCAACACAUACACACUCACUGACCGACACACACAUUCACUCACAGACACACACACACAUAAACACUUACAGACACACACAUUUACUUACAGACACAUACAGACACACACACACAUUCACAUUCACUUAGAAAUACACACUCACAGACACACACACACACAGACAUUUUCAUUAACACUCACAAACUAAUAUUUUUUUAAUUUUAUUUUAAAUCUACCCAGCCUCCCUGGGAUAGUUGGAGUGGAUUUCUUACCUGCAGUCCAGUGUGGCUGCUGGGUUGGCAGGCAGGGGUCGCACAAGCUAAGUAGGCGACGCUUAGUGAUGCCGGGAGCCGGACUGACAUCAUAUUCCGGCUCCCGGCUUCAUUAAGUGGCGUAUAGGGAGCUGAGCAUGAAGAGCUCAGGUAAAUAUGCUCCUUCACUGUCCGCUGCCAGCCUCGGGUGGCUCAGAAGUGGCCAGCCGGCCACCUCUUGAGCCCCCAGGACGCGAGGCAAGCAAGGGAUCUGCCUGGGGGUUUGGGGGUGGCUUUUUCUGCAGCCCCAUGCAAAGUGCCACCCAAGGCAGAUGCCUUGUUUGCCUCGCGAUACACCUGUCCCUGGUGCCUGUGUGUGUAACUGUAUUCAGGCAACUUGGUGGGGGGCGCCGUGAAGACUUUUCGCACAGGGCGCCUAUUUGCCUAAGGCCGGCCCUGGACACAUACACACACAUAGAUACACAACGACAUAUACACACAUGCACCCUUGUUAUGGGCAAAUGCAAAUAUUACAAGUUUUAGAAUGAAAUCUUGUAUUUCUUAAACUGUGUACUUUGUCUUUAAGAGAUAUUGCAAACUGACAAGGUGUUAGAAAUGGAACACAUUGUUUUUCAUAACUGUUUCUUUAAGCAAUAAACUCAGUGCAUAAUAUGUUUGCGCCAUUUUGUUCCAGACGAAUUACAGUAACAAUAAUGCAUAAACAAGCUUCAAGGCUAUGCUAUGACUCUUUCAGUACACAAUAUACUGUGCAGGGCUGGUGGAAGGAUUUUUGCUGCCCUAGGCAAAAGUAAAGUUUGCCACCACCCCCAUGUGACAUCACAAUGCCCCACCCAUAUGAUCUGCCAUGUUAACUAACGCCAGUACUGCAGUGCUGCCGUGUUUACAUUAAAAGGCUUGCAGGGACAGGCUAUGGACACCAGAACCAUUACAUUAAGCUGAAGUGGUUCUGGGGACUAGAGAUUAGUGCCAUGAAUAAUAUACUAGAUUGCCUACUUACAACCAGAUGAGGAUGCUGAUGGGCUCUAGCUGCAGUCUGGCUCCACUGGUCUGGUGUAGAACAGGCUCUCUGGAGGCUGCUUGUAACUGUGGUCACAAAAAUGAAUGUUCUGGGAAAACGGGAAGCAGCUCCAUUUUUUUAAAGCCCUUUACACAGCUCAAGGUCUGGGUCCCAGUGUCCACCUUCAUGUUCCACCAAUCAGUUUGUUCACAGGGGGUGGAGUAGGGGGAUGUCCUGAUAUGUGUGUAAGGAAUGCAUUGUGUGAAUCUGUGUUUGUAUGUGUAAGGGCUGCAAGGUGUGUUUCUGUGUAUGUACGGGAUGCAGUGUGUGCUUCUGUAAGGGGUGCAUUGAGUGUGUGUAAGGGGUGCAUUGUGUGUUUCUGUGUGUAAGGGAUGCAUUGUGUGUAAGAGUUGCAUUGCUUGUGUUUGUGUGUGUCUGUGUGUGUGUGUGUGUGUGUAAUGCACUGUGUGUUUUUCUGUGUGCAAGAGGUGCAUUGUCUUUGUGUGUAAGGGGUGCAUUGUGUGUGUGAUGGAUGUCAAUCUCUUCUCCCCCCUCCCCCCCUUUUCCCUCUCCCCCCUCCCUUGUCACUCUCUUCUCCCCUGCUUGUCCCUCUCUUCCCCUCCCUUUCAAUUUAUUUCCCCCUUUCAAUUUAUUCCCCCCUCCCUUUCAAUUUAUUCCCCCUCCUUGUCAAUGUAUUCCCCCCUGUCAAUUUAUUCCCCCCUUUCAAUUUAUUCUGCACCCUCCCUUUCAAUUUAUUCCCCCUACUCUCCCUGUCAAUUUAUCGCCCAUCCCUUUCAAUUUUCCUCCCUUUCAAUUUAUUCCCCACCCCUUUCAAUUUAUUCCCUACCCUCCAUUUCAAUUUAUCCCCCCCUUCCCCCCUUGUCAAUUCCCCCUGUCAACUCCCCUUCCCCCCCUUUCAAUUACCCCCCCCUGUCAAUUUCCCCUGUCAAUUCCUCCCCCUCCCUGUCAUGUUCCCUCCCCCUCCAUGUCAAUUCCCCCUUCCCUGUCAAUUCCCUUCCCUGUCAAAACCCCCCACUUCCAAUCCCCCUUUCCCUGUCAAUUCUCCCCCCCCUUUCCUGUCAAUUCCCCCCCACUACCCUACCUCUGUUGUAGCGUGGCCGAGCCCUGUAUCAUGGUCCGCGGGUACAGGGAGCUUUUGUUUCCUGUACCCAGCCAGACUAAAAGGAAGUGAACACUCAGUGUGUACUUCCUGUUAGUCCGGCCAGGUACAGGAGACAGAUGCUCCCUGUACCCGCGGACCAUGAUACAGGGCUCGGCCACGCUACAGCGAGGGAGUGACAGGAGGGAGUGCUGUGCGCUGAGCUCUUCCCUCCUGUCAGCCCCUCUCCUCAAGCUGUGCCCGGGCGGUGCUGUCUGCCCUCAUGGACACACUGCCUGGGCAAAGCUGCAGCCGCCUGAGGAUCUCUGCAGAGCGCGGCUGCAGCAUGAGGGGGGCCGGGGCUCCUGGCGGCGCGGCUUCCCAAGGGGUGCCCUAGGUGGCUGCCUAGUCCGCCUAACAAGUAGCGCCGGCCCUGAUAUUGUGGUAACACCAAGUUAAUGUAACUUCCCCAAAUCUACAACAGAUAACCUAUUCAGACUUUAAGAUGCCAUUUUGAACUAAGUCAGGAAAAUUUCCAUGACGUAUACACCCUUUAGUUAUGGCCUUGUAUGUUUGCCAAAUUAAAGGAGGUCCUAAAAUGAAUAAAGUAAAAGAAGUGUUUCUUUUUCAUAUAUGAACUGCGGUGACCCUAAGAUGGAGACACCUAAGGUAUAAAUAGGUGUACUUUUAAAUGUUAAGACACAGAGGAGAGACUUGGAGACAGACGCUGUUCCAUCUUAAAAUGACAGAGAGGCUGACAUGAUGACAUGUUCAGAAGGGUAUGUUAACCUAUUAAUGAUAUUUGCAAGCAUGUAAUUUAAUUUAUAAACUCUGCUAUAAAUUAUUGUAAUGGAUUUUAUAUGUGUAUAUUUAUAUUUUUAUAUAAUAAAUAUCUAAAAGACAAAACUAUUGCUUCCAAGACAAUCCUUAUUUUACAUUUGGCGACCACGAAGGGACUUGUACUUGGAAGCUUUAACUAUACAAUAAUAAAUAUCUAGGUAACCUCUUAUACGUAAGAGAAGACACAAUACUUUGUCAUGGCACACGUCUUGAAACAUCAAGAAUCUAAUGAGCUAUUUGUAGCCCAGACUCAGAGAGAGAUCUUCAUCAUUAGAGAUGAUUUUAAUGUGAACAAAGCACUUUGAGUUCAGGUUCCAGGUACAACGUAAUUAGCAUACAAUGCUGAAAUUGUGAAUCUGAUUCCAGACUUAAGAAAAAUAAAUAAAUAAAUAAAUAUAUUAUUGAAAAUUAAUCAGUGGAACAUCCAGAAUAUGCAUUUUUUGUAUAUAAUCUUAAUUUGCAGAUAUUUUAUGCCUUAAAGACAUAAUUUAAUAUUUAGACAUAAUUUAAUUAAAUAUGCAAGUAUCUUUAAAAAUUAAGCAAUGUUAAAAAAUAAAUAAAUAAUAUUAUAUAUAUAUAUAUAUUUUAUUUUUUUUACCACAAUAUUAACAGCUUUGUUAAACAGAUUCAAGUACAAGUACUUAUGUCAAGAAAUAUACAGAAUCCGUUUACAACAGGCAGGUUUAGCAUAAAUGCAAAGGUGUUGUUUUUGGGGGAUUUAUUAUUGCCCAAGAAAUCUCUGAACAUAUUCAGAAUUUUUGAGUAUAGAUAUCAGAUUGCAAUGGACACCUUUACAAUAUUGCUUUGCCGAUUGAGGUCAGAGCUUUAAAGAAUAAAUAAAUAAAUAGCUCACUAGACCACAGGCUUUUAAUGAACAGUUGGCACAACACUUAUGAAUAGUUUGUAAUACUGCACAUUAUAGCUGUGACAACAUAAUAUACAGGGUAAAAAUGCUAUGUCACUGUCAAUGUCACUGUCACUGUUUAAUAGACUUACCCAGUAUUUAAGGGCAUGUUUCUUGCAAAGUCAUCAGGCCUUUGAGGGAGGCUCUAACUAUGUUUAAUUAAUUAAUUAAUUAAUUUACUAAAAAACAAACAAAAAAAAAACAAAAAAAAGAAGAAAAGUUUUUUGUUUUUUUUUCCCCUGCAAGUUAAUUUUCAGCGCAAGGUCAUUUUGUGUUCACAGACUAUUCGGUUUAAAAAAAAGCUGUUCUUUAUCUCACAUUAUGAACGGCCUUGUAAUUCCUAUGCACACUAAAAGUUGGCUUUUAAAUGUUAUUGUUUUAACUUUAAUAUUUCAUAGUUAAUACAGAGGAUAAAGUAAUUUAAAGAAAAUAAAUUGAAAGUAUAUUAAUUGAUAGGAUUUCAUUUAUCUAUUUUGGUCCACUGUUCACUGAUCUCGAGUCUCAGUCUGGUGUUCAAACUGUUUUUCUUACGAUACGUCGUGAGUUUAUAUCCACAACUGCAUUUUGCUUUGUGGUAACAAACUGAAAGCCUGGCAUUGUAAUACGUGUAUGGACAUGUGUGACGAAAUGCCUUUUGUCCCUGGAUUGUUAGGUGACAAGCUGCCCAUUGCCUCCGGCUUUUGGAGGAGCCUGAUUGCCAGCCUCCUGCCUCAUGACUUUGGCCCUGGGUUAUAUGGCCCUUUACAAACAUUAUUUGGGCUUAUGGACUUUUAUUGUACGCUGUUGGCCCUUUAAAAACAGUGUAUGGACAUACUGAAACUUUUGAGACACUUUUUCUGCCCCUUUGAAUUUUGGGCAGACUAGAUGGGCCGAAUGGUUCUUAUCUGCCGUCACAUUCUAUGUUUCUAUGUUUCCCCUCCCCCAGCUCUAUUGUUCUCCAGCAGGGAGUUGUCCCAAGAACACUGCCAGACCAGUGGGAACUGGUUUGGGCAGGAAAAGCCAUGCUUCCUUUGGUUACAAAGGACUUCUAACUAACUUUUGAAUUAAUGGAAGGAUUUGCAUGAUUUUGGGGUAUGUUUGUAUUUGGGAUGUUCUGAUUAAUAAUAUGUGACUUUUAUUGAUAUUGGAUGUAUGGUUUUAGAGUUAUGAAAGUUGGGUAAAAAGUGUGUUUUAAAAUGUAUUGAUAAUUGGGUUACCUCUCAGGCUAAGGGGAGGAGAUGUGUGGGAAGUAACCAUUGUGUGAUUGCUUGUAGUGUGUCCCACCCUGUGGGAUGUCCCCUUGCAUGGGGACCUGCAUAAAAGAAGGUUCUUUGUGUGCCAAUAAACAGAUCAUCUUGUACCUUCAUGAAGUUUCGGCUCAUGUUUGGGGGAUGGGAGAAACUACACUCUGGGGAUUGCUAUGAUCACUAUACUCCCCAGGGUAUAAUCACUAAGCUCUGCUAAGAGCUUGUUCCUGUUCCUGCUCUCUGGAAUUUAGAGAGAGGUCGACCUGCUGGAAGCUGGACCCUGGUCCUGGGUCCAGAGUGGGUGGAGACGGCGAGACCCCAACCAAGCUGCGGCGGUUUGUGGGGUCUGCAGUGGUUAUGGUGUCAGGCAGAGUGCUUGGAGUCCUCGGAAAGCACUAGGAGCAUCCGUCAGCGGAAGGUACCUGGUCGGGGUGCCAGAGGUUCCGUUACAACAUGCUUAUAAAAAGCAUGGUCCCUCUCCUCAUAUAGUUGGUCAUUAACAGGCACUUUGAUGCAAUGUGUCUAGCAACGCUUUUCUGUGGUCACUGGAUCACAUCGCAUACCCUAUCUCUCAGUCAUGAUGCAGAGUUUAUGCUUGCAAGGAUAUCCAGAAAUAAUCCACCUGGUAUCCGCAUAAAUACUCCUAUCGUUUAGAGGGGUUUGUUUACAUAAUAACCAUUGAAGGUAAUAUGUUGGUUGUUCUUCCUAUAGAGGAAAGAUAGACUUGCCCUAAAAGCUUUUUCAUCGCUAGGACAAGCUCUUAUAGAGAGAGGUAAUGUACUUCUGACUCCUGAAAAGGAAUAUUGGUGGUCCAGUAUGGGGAAUACUGUAAUUCAUGUAUUUAGUAAUCAUACGCAUUUGCUUAUUGCCACAUUACUGAUUUACUGUUUAUUGAAAUAUUAAUAUCUAACAUACUUUUUGAAUUACUAUAUAUUGGAAGUUUGCCAACAUCUCAUGGUUAUAAAUAUGUUUUUGUAUGUGUUGAUGCAUGUACCAGGUUUACUUGGCUAUAUACUGUGCGAAGUGCAACCUCUGAUGCCACGAUUUCUAGUCUCACUUCCUUAGUAUGCAUUUGAUAAUCCCAGGACCAUCCAUUUGGAUGGUGGUCCUGCAGUUACUGCAAAGGAAACCUAAAACUGGGCAACCACAUUUUGGUUACUGUGGGAUUUCAGUGCGCCAACCACCCCCAAAGAAGUGGGUUUGAGGUCUGGGAAAAUGCUGAGGUUAAAUGAUUAUUAACCAAGUUACUAGUUGCUCCACACAGUGGUAUCUAUUUAUUCCUAUGGUACAGAUGAGCAUUCACAACAUACCUGAUGAUACAAAUGGUGAGACACCAUAUGAAAUGUUACAUUUUUUCACUGACAAACAUAUUUCUGCACCAGGGAGAGCUUAGAACCAUUGGUUCUAUUAGAGAAAUUUAGGGAAACUUUUUUUCCAGCCCACCUCGCCUUGCACCACCACCUAUUUCCUACUGUUGGCCAGCUUGUCCUGGAGAGGUUGACUCCGAGAACUUUUACUACAGAAAACAAUCAGAGCCAACAGAGAACAGUAAGUUUUGAUAUUUUACAACCUGCUAAAUACUAACGGGACGUUCACAGAACCACUGACUGAGACAGUGAAUGCUGUUAAAGAUGACAAGAUAAAACAAACAGAGGACGACAGAAAAGAUACCAGAAUCAUAGCCACGUAACAGACUGAAUCAUGAUCUGACAUCUGAACCUGCAAAUUUGAAGGAGAAUAAAGGCUGAUAACUGUCAACACCCAGCUGUUUCUCAAGAUGGAACAUGGUAAUGACAAAACCAGAUUGACUAUCAAAGCAUCUCAAAGUACAAGACACAGAUCGAUACCUUCAACUCAGAAAAAGUGGUUAAUAGGAAGAAGCAGAAGAAGAAGAAUAUAGAUUUCCUACUGGAGUAAAAAACCAUCCUGGAACAAUAUUCUGCAACAAUGAACUUUACAAUGACAUUUGGUGGCAUAUGAAUUGGAAGAAACACAUCAAUUAAGGAAAGAAACCUUGAUGCAAUUAAUAAAUAACACUACCGGCCUACUAAGAGCAGAUGCCCUGCCAAGAGAAUGGAAUAUAAAAGGCCAUCAAAAUCUUUCAGAAACGUGACAUCAUGGCACACUUGUACUAAAGCACGAUUUGCAGCUUUUCUUAAACUCUACAUAUUAUCUACAUACCUGCAAAGCAAGGAAUUCCUGUAUACAUAAACACAGAGACAUUGAUACAACAAGGAAUCCGCAAUGGUUCUGUUGCAUAUGUGAUCUACCAUCAUACUCCUUGCUCUUUUGGUACAACUAUACCAAUCAAAACGUUAAAUGGCUCCAUAGAAUCAAAUGACAAAGGAUUCUUGCUAUAUUCUGGACUUCCAGGAAUGUGGUGCAUGGACCGAAAAAUUAUAAUUACUAAAGCAAUCAUGCUAUUUUUUUCCCUGUAUCAGAAAUGUGUCAGUGACAAUGUGUAAUAUAAUACAGAUACUAUAAUUAAUGGUAUAAAAUAAACGCAUAAUGUGUUAAUUACAAAUGUGGAUAGACUUUGUGAAUAUCUGAAACGCAAUUGCAGGUGUCUCCAUUUUAGGGUUACCGUAGUUCAUAUAUGAAAAAGUAACACUUCUUUUACUUUAUUCAUUUUAGGACCUCCCUUAACUUGGCAAACAUACAAGGCCAUAACUAAAGGGUGUAUACGUCAUGGAAAUUUUCCUGACUUAGUUCAAGAUGGCAUUUUAAAGUCUGAAUAGCUUAUCUGUUGUUUAUACUAAGACAUGAGUGGACACUCGUGGGAGAUUCCCGGAUUUGGGGAAGUUCCAUUAAUUUGUGGUUACCACAGUAUAUUGUGUUCUAAAAGAGUCGUAGUAUAGCCUUGAAGCUUGUUUAUGCAUUAUUGUUAUUGUAAUUCGUCUGGGACAAAAUGGCGCAAAAAAUAUUAUGCACUGAGGUUAUUGCUUAAAGAAACAGUUAUGAAAAACAAUAUGUUCCAUUUCUAACACCUUGUCAGUUUGCAAUAUCUCUUAAAGACAAAGUACACAGUUUAAGAAAUACAACAUUUCAUUCUAAAACUUGCAAUAUUAGUAUUUGCCCAUAACACCCUGACACACACAAACAUUGAUACAUGCCCACACCAUGACACAGAUACACACACUGAUAUAAAAACACACCCUGACAAAGAGAUGUAUGCGCAGACACAGAAGUACACUGACACAUACACACAUAUAUAUAUAUAUAUACAAAAGCUCACACAUAUACAAGUGAUUUUCUUUAAUAUCUGGUGAUUUGAGUCCUACUGCUGUGGUAGUGAGGGGUCUGGAGCUCUUCAUGCUCUUCUCCCCUCAUGCUGCUGCUGCCUCUCUCCUGUGCGGUCUCUCUGCAUGACGCUGGGAGGAAGUGACAGGCUGUUACGGUUGCCUCCAGGCUAGCUGAAGGUUGGCCGCUUAGAUGUCCUGGUUCCCGAUCUUGGAGAGGGAGAGCGCCACUCAGAACAGCAUAACACAGCAAUCCUG